rnacentral:lncRNA from 1 species
UUACUAGAGCCAUGCAUGAAUUACAUAAACUAGCACAUAAGCUACUUGUUUUGUAUUGAGUUUUGUCGAACCUUGUUGACCUAUGUUGAUAAGAUUAUCAUGCUCUCAAGAUCAAGAUCACAUAAACCCACAUAUUUCUAUCGUUCCUACAUUGGGAAUGCACACAAACAUGUCUUUCCAUCCACAAAAUGUUUUACUCCUACAUUAGGAGAAAACACAAAAAAGAGUCUAGCUAGGAAUAAUUGCUCUAAGUUCUUUAAAGUCUUUCUCAAUAUUUUCUAAUUAUGGAAGGGAGGUAUGUGGCUAUGCAAAAUAAAGUAUUGAAAAAAAAGGACAAGUGUCCAAGAAAGAGAAAAGAAGAAAAUAAAAUAAAGAGAUAACCCUUACCAUCCUUUGUAAAGAUCAUCAAUGUUUUAGAAGAAGAAAGAUAUUCUUAAAGAGAAAAGUAGAAUUAAGAUUAGCCACUAUAUAUUUCACACACAUGCAGUUUUUGAUCUAAGAGUAUGCUAUUCCCCUCCAUAGAUCUGAGUUUGGACUUACCAACAUAUGCAAGAUAAGUAUGCUAUUUCCUUGAAUUACCUUUAACUCCAUAUAAGCCAUUAUAGAGUAGGAUACAUAUGAGGCAUAGAUCAUACAUGCAUUGGUGAGUUCCACAAAUACAACUCACAAUGAGUGAUUCCAGUGUGCUACAUGAUGGCGAAGGGUAAGCUAAAUUUUUUCUUUGCAAAAAUAUUAUAAACUCCAAGUGAUAGGACUGAAGAAAAAGGGAAAUCUAUUUUGUACUGUUCCAUCCUCAACUUCUCAAAGUUUUGUGGUAGACACUUUGAAUCCCGCAGUACAGGUAUGAUGCUGUAAAAUGCUACGGUGAUGUUCUGUGCACUUGCAGAAUCCUUCAUAUUUCUUUUUGCACUAAUGAAUGUCAACAAUGAGCCAGUCUAGUUCGGAGCUGACCCCGCUUGUGAGGAACCAACACAUACCAGUUAUGAUGACUGGCAGGCUCACUAGUGCCACACACUGAACCUAGGGGUGUAUCCUCCAUACCAUCCCGCUUACUAGCCAUACGAGUAUUAUCAACCGCCACCAUUCAUCCAUACAAAGGGAAUGAACUUGAGGCAAAGGACCAAGACAUUCAUUUGAUGCCUAUGGUACAAGGACAGAAGAAGAAGAACUGUAACAAGACUUCGAGCAAGAACAUAGCUCUCAUGCUACUAGGUUCUUCUAUACCCAGCACAUUAUAAAGAACAAAUGGCAUUCCAAAACUCAUCAACACCUCUUUGGCUCACAAUGAGUAGAAUUGGAAUGAUCAGCACCAGUGGAAUGAAAAUACCACUCAAACUCUGGCCACUAUUUGAGAAGGACAAGACCAAGUUAAUAACACUUUUAAUGACAUCUUCGCAUUCCUGCAAAUCCUGAAGGACCCACCAUGUGAAGACUAGCUUGGGGGAAGACCCCCUUUAUCAAGGUAAGUUUUCUUUCUCUUCAUUCUAGUUUAUUUCCUUUCUUUUUAUUGCAUAUAAAAACCUUAGAAAACCAAAUAAAAAGAGUGUGUAAUAUAAGUUUGCUUUACUUUACUAUUAAGCUGGCUAUAAAUAAAAUAUGUAGGUUUGGAGAAUGCAAGAUGGAAAUGAUGAAUAGUUGCUCUGCUAUAUUCUUUUCAAGUACCUAGUUUUAAAUUUGAGUUCUCCCAAGGAUUGGAUAUAUUGUUUAACAACUAAUUUACUAUACUCUUUAAACCCAUGGGAGCAUAUGCUUAAACUAAGUCUAGGUAGUUGAUGGACACGGUAUGAAAUAGUCUGAGCUGCUAUUUAUUAUGUUCCUAGUGCUACUAAACUCUGAAGAUUUAUUUUGUGAAAAUUUAAAAUGUUUCAUGAUGAGUUCCAUGUGUGACAUAGAGUAUAAAAUUCCCACCAUAGUUAUACUUAUUUAUAAUUGGAAGCCUCCACAUAUUUGUAGGGCUUGUGUUUGCUCGAGCUGUGUUGCCACUUAGGAACUCAUCAUACGGCUAAAUCCUGGUAUCACGCACACUCAUGUACACCCUUUGCUGCUUUUGCUCUAGAAGUACGCAUAUAUAUAUAUAUAUAUAUUCCAUUUUUACCUAUCCAAAAAUGUUUCACUCUUACACUGGGGGUUAACACCCAAAAUAUUUCCCUUGUUCUUUCGCUAGCCAUUUACCUCAAGUUCAAAUGCUCCAAGAUACAUCCUUCAUUCUCUACAAAAUGUUACAAAAAAGAGUUGUUGGCCUGCAAGAAAAAUGUUGGACAAAAGUCCUAUGAAAAGCAAAAAAGAGAUUUAUUAGCCCAUGAAUAUUAUGAAGUCUGCAAAGUUCAAGGUUAGAGGAAUCAUUUUCUAAAUAAAAGAGCAUUAGAAUUAGUUUGCACCCCUUCUCCUUCCACAAAUAUUCUCUAUCUUAUCAUUCAUAUAUAAAACCACACAUGUACAACCGGUUGGUCAUAUGAUGAGUUCUUCUAGAUCCAUGAUUCGAUCAGACCCAAUGCAUUAGUUAUCUCCACACCUAUGAGCUCCACAUAAGCUUUAUUAGAUAUUGGGAGAGAGAGUGAAGGCUGUAUAAAAUGCAAGAGAGAAGGCAUCACUUCUUUCAAUUCCUUAGAGAGGAUCCAAAAAUACCACAUAUUGAGAGACUUGAAAGGGUCAUACUAAAGAACUAUGAGUUUUAUUUUGAAAAAUCUUAUAAAAACUUCCAAAUAGAGAUGGAACAACAGAGCAUAAGACAACAUUGUUUGACCUAAUUGUUCUGACUUUCAACUUCUCAAGACCCAAAUACAGGUAAUAGCCUCAUGGUUAAAAGAAACAUGAGUAAGUUGGAAGUUAUGAUAGUCCACUCUAGUCUAGGGAUGAACUCUUGUUUAAAGCAUGCGUACCUAUAAAGAGUAAAAGCAUUUUAGCAACUCCUGAUCCAUCUCUUGUAGUUGUUUACUCAAGGACGAGCAAAAGGCAAGCUUGGGGGCGGUUUAUUAAUUGGUGACGAGUUUAUGUAUAUGUUUGCAAAGUGCUUAGCUCUCUUUGCGGGAGGGUUAUGUGAUAAAUGCCAUGUAAUCAUGGUGCUUAGAUAUCAUUUAUCUAGAAUUACACCCUAUUAGUCGGGUCGUGUGGUAGAUCACAGAAGUGAUAGUUCUGUUGAUUCCUUGUACUCCAUCCCCCGUUGGUAUGAUAGGUAGAACCACAAUUGCGUAGAAAGUCUAGCUAUGUCUUGGCUUUUUAUAGCAAUGUUCCUUAUACAUAAAUGAAGAGUAUUUUGUGCUAUAUAUGAUAGUGUAGCAUUAGAAUAAAUGAAUGACUUGGUAAAUUAGAACUACUUAGGAUUUUCUAUCUCUUGAACUAAUCAGAUGUCAACCUACUAUUAGGUGGAGUAGUCUAUAUCUAAUCUCUAUGUGAUUUAUUCCUUGAGGUUUUAUACUUCAUAUUAUUUAUCUAUCAUGGUUUACCCCACUGCCAAGUAUGUGACUAUGCAACCCAUUACUCAUAACUAAUCAUGGUUUGCAUGUUUAUCUCAAUGUUAAAGUCCUUAGUUCUUUCCCUUGAGCUAAAUAUACAUAACGAUACCUGGAAUACUUUCUGGUGAAGUGCUGCAAUGGUAUUUAAUCUCUAUGCUUGCAGAUCUUAUAUUUAUUUUAUUAGUGAAUAGUUUUUAUACCAACACUUCUGGUGCUAUGCUUGGGAUGGCAACUUAGCUUAAGUGGUGUUAGAAGUGUUAACAAUAUGGUGGAGCAUUAUAAUCCCUGAUAAGUCUUCUAUUUUGAGGAGCAAUUUUUAUAGCCGAAUAACCAUUGUUAUAAUCUAUUGUCGGCUGUUGCACUGACUACUAAACAAUGUUACCUCCAUUGAACAGAUGACUUCCAACUAAUGGUUCCCCAGAUGCUUGCUCUCUUGAUGUUUGCCCGACAAACGCCUGUCUAUUUCUAGCAGGAAUAAAAUAUGUUGAACCUCUAUUCUGUAUAUUUAGACUAAAAGCUUGUUUAUUAGCAUUAGUAAUACCAUUUAGAAACAUCUCAUUAUGAUUAGCCAAAGUUGAUGCCAUGUCCUUGCUGAUAGUCUCAAACAUAGUAUUGUGCUGAAUUUGAACACUAGGGUCACGCUCCCCUUCUAUAAUUACUCUUGGAAGUAAAGUCUUCUGAAUCACCUUGUUAUCCCUAUUCUUACUAAAAGCAAGCUGACACUUCUCUUGAUAUAGAUUGACAGCUGUAACAACCAACUUCUUUUAGUUGAUCAGGAAGUUCAUCUAGAGUGAUGUUCAACAUGUUCUCAUUAUCUAUGUCAUCGGUUGGGGUCCCACUAAGCAUGCCAAAAGAUAUGUUGGUCUAAAAAAUUGCUUCUUUGUACAAUACACCUGAUGGCUCUUAGAGGGCAUGUAGAAGCUAGAGUUUUGGACCUCCUGAGCCUCAAUGCAUGAGCUAAACUUGUGUUGAUGCAAAAUAAAUCUGCAAACACAACGGGCUAAUACCCGAUUCUAAAAUUAUGGCGUGCCAGCCGAUUUGACCUAGCAAUCGACAAAGGUGAUAACUUGAAUACUUUGGUUCCGACAACAGCGAUGCGCCUGGAUGUCACAGCCAAGAUAUACUCACACGGAACUCGAGAAUUCGCCAAUUAUUGCUUCUUGAAUCCCUGAGAACUCAUAAACAAAAGAAAAUAUGCGAGUUGAUGAAGUCGUCAAAAAAGUAGAUGUAAAAGUAGAUGUAAAACUUGUGUGUGAUUGUUGGCAAAUCUUAAUGCACACCGGCUAGAGUAAGAUGUGACAAGUAUCUAGAAAUGGUGGCGCCUAACCAGCACUACUUAAAUGCAAGCAUGGGCUGUUACUAGGAUAGGGUGUCACGCUACCGUAAACAAUGGCUCCAGAAAUGCUAAGCAAUGCUAAACUCUAGCGGUGACACAAGACGUACCAAGGGUAACUCUGCAAGCGCACACGUACCGCUAUAGCACUUCAACCGUGGUGAGUAUCUACGGUGUCAUAAUUUUUAGUUCGCUCAUGGGAAGCGGACUAAGACUCUCUUAAUAAAUAUAUGGAUGGAUAUCCGUGGUUUGUGUCUACUCAAUCUAAGUUCACUAGUGCUAAUAGGAGGGUAAGAAUAGCAAGGUAGGAUAGUAGAUAAGUUAGAUAAAGGUAAGUAAAGAUAACUGGUAGUGAGCUAGCUACGUGGGAGGACAACGAGUGAGUAAGGACUCCUAUGUAUCUAAGUCUACUUCUAUGUUCUAAUCCUAAUCAAUGUAAAUCUACUAUCCAAACAGUCUUGUGCGGUGGGAAGUCGACUGCAAUAGGAGGAUGAAACUCAUAUCCAAGUGGACCUUUGUCUUAUGGGCUUCUACAGACCGUACCCAACGUGAAUAGAACGUACUCGGAAGUAGAGGCCUGUCACGCUUCGCUGCCACCAGCUAACACGUUUGAUACGGUGGUAUCCACUAAUAAGCACUAGCCUAAGUAGGUUGCUUACACUAGUCUUAUAACUUCAACUGUCACGUAAGUAGCCAAAGCCCCUAAGGGAAGUGGAACACACGCAAGGUGUUGAAGACACUAAUCUAACUAAGGCAGCUACACUAAUAAUACUAAGACACAACACUACUACAAGUAUAAUAAUGCACUAAGCAAUACUCAAAGUAAGGACUUAAAGUAAAUACUUAGUAAAGUAAAGAAAGGCUAUAUUAAUGUAAAGAAUGUAAUACAAGAGAAAAGGUACAAGAGCUAUAGCAGACUCUCUAGAAGACAGCUCUCGAGACCCGAGCUUCGCUCGACUCGACUCUAACUCCCACUCUAGACUAGACUACACUCCACUUGAUCUCCCAAGUGGGAUUUGGAAAUGAAGGACCCCUCCUUAUAGAUGGAAGAUGUCUCAUGGGAGAUGGAGGACCCCUCCGUAUAUAGGGGUGAAAGAGGGGGUGCCACGUCAGCGAUCCACGUGCUCCUUCCUUCUCCACCCUUGGAUGCACCGACCUCUCAACCGCCUUAGAUGAAUGGUUGGAGCAUUGCCACACAUGAGGAAGGUCGGUGGGAGUGAACCGACUCCAGAUGGGGCCCACCUGUAGGUCGGUCGACCUGACCUUUGGCUGACUGUGGGUCCCAUAGACCUUCUAGAAGGUCCUUAGAUCGGUUAGAGGUUGGGCCAGGUGGCAUCACCCCAUAGGUCGGUCGGCUGACCGACCUUUGGGGCACUUGGCCCACCUCUGGCCUCCUGGUGGUAUCCCCACUUGUCAUGUGAAGUGUUGUCCAUAAUUGAGUCUAGUUGCACACUUGCUUGCUUUUAUAUAGGCCCAAGGAUCCAUGUGCUAAGGUUUUUGAACCGUUGAGGGCAAGCACACUUGGAUCCAAGGGUUGGGAAUGACUCCUUCGAGUAUGCCAUGGCUCAUGCCAUGGAGGGGAGCCCCUGGUGGGCCCAAACCCUGGUCGACCGACCUAGGUUAUGGGGCCCACAGGGCUCAUUUCCUUCUUCCCUGCAUUGAACAAGCUAAGAGUACAAGUGGAACUUUAUUAGUGAUAAAUAUGUUCAUGUGAUGCUUAUCUUCCUUCAAUCGAGGACUAUUGAUGGGCUUUUGAGUAUAUAGAACUGGGUCUUAUUUCCCGUCAACAAGAUCCCCCAAGCUUAACCUUUGCUCGUCCCGAGCAAACAAUGAAGACUUGGUUUGACUGGAUCAGGUAUUACCACUAAGUUAACAUCUUAAUAGUACUAAUUGCAAAACAAAGAGCUUCUCCUUGAAUGGCAAACUUAGCAAUGCUAGCACACCAAUGUUACUUUAGCACCCAUGGGGCAUAUAGCAUUAACUCAGUCUUAGGAUGUUGAGAGAUAGAACAACUUUGACUCGAAACCUACUUUUCUCAUUCUAAAGCAAGUUUCAUGCCAGAGGUUUUUGCUAUGUUUUUCAAAAGAAAUCUUAAUGUUCCUCAUAUUGUUUCUCUCAAGUCACUCAAGUGGUGUAUAAAUCCUUACCGAGGCAUAUGUGUCAGUUGCCUUCUCUAUGUAAUCCUACUAUAAUAAAGGCUUAUGUGGAGCUCAAGGUAGAAACAAGGGGAUGGCGUACUUACAUUGCAUAUGUUGUGAAGUCAAACCUCAGAUCCUUGGAGGAAGAGUAGUGUCAUGCUCGAGAUCAAGAUAUAUAUAGUGGAAAGGUAGUAUGAGUAUGAUGGCUAGAUGGCUCUUUUAUUUGAUUAUGCUAUCUCUAUAUUUUUUCUAUUGAGACAAGGCUAGCAUUUUUCUCUCUUUUUUCCUUUUUUUCAAGGACUUGAUGAUGUCUUUCCUAACAAGAAGACUAUUUUUCUACAGUCUUUGCUUUGUGUCUCAUCUAACAUUUAGCUAUUAGAGAGAGAUUCUACACUUAGAGCAUGGAGCAUGUAUAUUUGGUGGAAUGGAAUGGAAUGGUAUGGAAUGUUGCAUACUCCCAGUGUGAGAGCAGCAGAUGUAUGUGAAUGGUGUGGAUCUUGAUCUCACUGAGCAUGACAAGACUCCAAACCAAGGGUCAACAAGAGUUGACAUCUCUCAAUACAAGCAAGCAGCAUAUGUGCUAGGUUUCUAUCAUGUAGAGCAUAUAUGGCUUGUGGUAGGAAUUUAACACCAUUGAUGAACAAUUAAGUUUUUAUUCAUCUUAAAAAAUAAAUUCUCUGGCAAUCAUGCAUGCUUAGAACAAUAGUAUAGAUCUCUUAUCUUAGCUAUAUCAUGUCUCACAACAACUUAGACUUUGUUUUAGCACUUGCAACCCACUAAGUGUUCAAGUUCAUGAUGGUUAAGAAUGCUAAGUAAUCCAUACUUAGAGAAAUGCUAAUUUGUAAAAAAGUACUCGAGAGACAUUAACUAGCAAUUUCAUCAUCAUUUCCAUAGAAAGGAUAGCACACAUGAAGCAUAUAUAUAAAAAGGAAAUAAAGCAAAUAAAUAUUUUUGGUUUUUCUUAUUAUGCAAUAAGGAAACAAAUAAAAUGCAAAUAAGCAAGAAUUAAAUUAGGGGGUUUGGAAACUCACUUUGGAUAAACUUACCUUAGUGGGUGCGAGAAUCUCCCCCAAGCUUGCCUUCUUGCUCACUAGGGUGGUUGAUACCCAAACCAUUGGUCCCAUCGGUACUCACUCUUAGCUUGGAGGCUUUGUGCCAUGUCCAAGUUCUCUUGCAUGAGCUGCAAGGUGGUCUGCUAUCCGAUGUUGAUGUUCUCCAUAUCGCUGAUGAGUGUCUCCAUUUCUGACGGUGGUUGGCGCCUCCCCUUACCAAGUGGGUGAGGGGUGUGCGCUGCUGAAGACGUCCUAGAGUGAUGAGGUCUUUCCAUGUGCAUGGAGUUCACCUCAUCCUCCUAUUAUGGUGCAGCAUAAGAGGGACCAGCUUCCUGCCGAGCAGCACGGGUCCAUGCUCUCAUCAUCGUGUCUAUCCCUGCAACAAGGCUCUAUUCUCUCUUCCUAGCCUCAAGGUUAGUGAUGAAGCAUUAUACAACCAAAGGUUCUCAUCGUGAAGAGAGACUUCAAUAGGAUUGUUCCCAUAAAUCAUUUUAAGGCCAUUUCUAGCAUCUCUUUUAAUCAAUUAGCACUCUUAAGCAUCUGCUCACCUAAAAUAGAUCUAUCAUCCUAGAUGUACUCUACUUCAUUUGUUUCAAGCAAACCCAUAGAUUCAGCAAUUCUGGUGAUAAGUGAAGUAAAGCAUAGGGGCAUGCUAGGUGCAAUGGAGGAGAUCCAAAAAGGAACUAGCCAUUUGACAUGUGAAAUUUUGAUUUUGUUUACCAUGACAUAAAGGAUUUGCAAUUCUUUACAGCCUAUAUCAUCCAUACUAGGACCAGGGAAGAGAGUGACUAUGAUCCAAAUGUACAUGAAUCUUAAGGUUGGGUUAUGGAUUUGGAUAGGUCUAUGAACAGAGGGAUUAUUGGAGCAAGUAAUCAACUUCUAGAACUUGGCUAAGUCAAAAAUUUUGCAAAGCAUGAUCUAUGUCUAGCUCACAAUCUUGAUCAAAGCCUAGACAUGUACUCAGUUCACUCCAAGUUAAAUUGUAAUAUUUGUUGAACAUGCGAAAAGUUACUCCCGCAUCGUUUGAUUUUUGUGUGGCAAGAAAUUCUUGAGAGAGUACUUUUAUACCAAAUUUAGAAACUUGCCAAAAUCCACCCCAACCAAUGGCAUAAAAGACAUUAGGAAAGUCGGUGCUCAUACCUGAUUGGUCCAAGAGUUUCUCAUCAAAGACAACGGUGUGGUUGAAGCCGCAAGUGCGAAGGGUGUAGAGCUUCCCUAGCUCUUCAUGAGUGAGCAAGAGGUUGUCGUGGGGCUCCAAUAUCCUAUCAGUGGGGAUGAAGGGAACAAGUGUGUGCAGUUGUUCCUCCUCCACCCUCUCAUGGCUCCUACUCUCGGAGUGGUGAGAGCUCCAGGAUGAGCCAUCACCCUUCCUCUUCUUGGUGAGCUUGGCGGAGAUGAAUUUCUUCAUGCUAGCUUCGCAAGUUAACAAAAUAAGACCAAGCUUCCUACUAUACUACUAUGCCAAAGGGAAAUGUUAUUGGGUUUAUAGCUACUACUACAAUAAGGUUGAGAAGGCUCGGAACACUAAAGAGAAGAGAGAAGGCCAAGUGAGCUCGAGAUGAUUCUGCUGGUUGUGGUGUGGAAUUGAGCUCACAUUGGGGUGCUAUUUAUAGGGGUGAAAGGGCAUGGCUAGACCCCCCAUAGGGCAGGUCGGCCAACUGGGGUUCACCCCCUUUGAAGCAUGCCUUCAACAUUAGACAGGAAACCUAGCCUCGUGCUUGCAUAAAGUCACCAAGUGGGAGCAAAAGGAUGGUUGGUCGACCAUGACUUUUGCCGCCGACCUCUUUAAUCAUGAUAUGUUGGGUUGUCUGAUACAGAUGGUGGUGGUGCUGACCUAAAGUUGUUGCUGGUUGCCUCAGAUUCACAUGUUUAGUGUUUGGUGAAAGAGAAAAGGAGAAAGCAAAAGAGGGGUGUCGAGGUUGUCAAUAGGGGGUAUCCCAGCCAACACUCAUAACAAAGGGAUUCAUGAACGGAUCAAGGCUCUGACUCGAUACUCCAACGUAAAUAAAUGAUCACCGGGGCUAGGUGUCGAUCGCGACCUCGAACGCAGAAACAGGGUCCUGCGAAUUGAUGGGGGCUUGACGAACUGCGACAAUCGAAUGUGGGAGUGGCUCGAGCGUAAAAGCGCCUCCUGUUUGCCUGUCAUGGGUACGGAAGCCAGGGCAUUUGAUGCGUCUGCCAUGCGCCCACCAAACCGGACAGUCAUGGGGAACGUGAUAGGGAACAAGCAUUCGUCAAAUCUUACCUUUUUUCCAGCUUUAUCCCCCAAGAUGGAUAAAAGUACGACUUGGCAUGGUAUAGCAGACGUGAUGUCCCAUCAUGACACCCCUCGAGACACCUGAAGUCAGCGCUCUCAUAUAGCAAGGCCGCUUGUGCGACCUGACCCUCGAGCAGGCACAUUCGUUCUCAGGAAAGAAUCAGACGAUGGAAGUCAGUGCUUCAACCACCCCAGACGUGACUACUGCCGCGACGUACAAGCGUGCUCGCACCCAAGUCAAUCCAAGAUGAUGAACAGAAGCUCUUUUUCAGUUGUUGCAUAAUUAAGUUGAGCUUCUGUGAAAGUUUUACUGGCAUAAGCAAUUGCAUGAUGCUUCUUAUUUUUAGUUGGUCCCAAAACUACCCCACAGCAUAAUCACUAGCAUCACACAUAAUUUCAAAAGGUAACGACCAAUCAGGGGGUUGAAUGAUUGGUGCAGAGAUGAGUGCUUUCUUUAAUAAAUUGAAAGAUGUUAGACAUGCAUCAUCAAAUUCGAAAGGAGCAUCCUUGGCUAGCAAAAGAGUAAGUGGUCUUGCAAUGAAUGAAAAAUCUUUUAUGAAUCUGCGAUAAAAACCAGCAUGGCCAAGAAAGCUCCGAAUUCCUUUUAUAUUCACAGGUGGAGGUAGUUGUUCAAUUACUUCAAUUUUAGAUUUGUCUACCUCAAUACCUCUUUCAGACACUAGGUGUCCCAGCACUAUUCCUUCCCUAAACAUAAAAUGACAUUUUUCCCAAUUAAGGACUAAGUGCUUUUCUUCACAUCUUUGCAAAACCUUGUCUAAGUUUUCAAGACAACUAUCAAAAGUUUUUCCACAAACAAAGAAAUCAUCCAUGAAAACUUCCAUAAUCUCUUCAAUCAUAUCAGAAAAUAUAGACAUCAUGCAUCUUUGAAAAGAAGCUGGUGCAUUACAUAACCCAAAAGACAUUCUACGGUAAGCAUAAGUUCCAUAUGGGCAUGUAAAAGUGGUUUUGCUUUGAUCAUCGGGAUGGACCGGGAUCUGGUGAUACCCUAAAUAUCCAUCUAAGAAACAGAAGAACGAAUGGUUCGCUAAUCUCUCUAGCAUCUCAUCUAUGAACGCAUGGAAAAUGAUCCUUUCUCAUGGCUUUGUUUAGUUUUUUAUAGUCUAUGCACAUCCGCCAUCCUGUGACGGUGCGUUGCGGAAUUAGCUCGUUCUUUUCAUUCAUAAUGACAGUCAUGCCUCCCUUUUUAGGCACAACUUGUACUGGGCUCACCCACUCACUGUGCGGCACAGGAUAUAUAAUCCCUGCAUGCAGCAACUUUAUAACUUCCUUUUUAACUACCUCUCUCAUCGUGUUGUUAAGUCUAUGUUGGGGUUCUCAAGAAGGUGAAACAAAAGGAUCUGUUGGAAUACGAUGGGUACAAAUCAUAGGACUGAUUCCUGUAAGAUCUUGGAGUGAGUAGGCAAUAACUGAGUGAUGUUUCUCAAGAAUGGUCAUUAAUAGCAGAGCUUGCUCCUGAGUGAGUUUAUCACUAAUGAUCACAGGAAACUUUGGAUUAUUGUUUAGGAAAGCAUAGAUAAGACCGGGUGGUAAAGUUUUAAGCUCUAUGGGAGGUCUAGGCGUUUCCGCAAACUCAUCUAAGGGUUUAGGUUCACAAGGUUCAACUUCUUCUUCCAUGAAGAAAGGAGCUUCGUCUUCUAAGUCUGGUUCAUCUAAAAGCUCUAGAGAUGCAGCCUUUACCUCCUCCAUAGGAUCAGGCAAAAGAUAUGACUCAGCCUUAUUAUUUAAGGAGUGUGAAAUUGUUAUGCGAAUUUUAAAAGUUUUUUUUCCAAAAGAAAUGUGUAGCUUUCCAGUAUGACCUUCAUAAAGGAGUCUUUUAAAAGGUUGUCCUAUCAACAGGUCGAAGUCCCAUGUAUCAAAGAUAUAGAAGUUCAAAUGAACCAUGGAGCCUUCUACCGUAAGAGGUAGGACAUUAAUAAUUCCAAGACUGGGGACUAAUCAUCCCGAAGAUUCCGUUAUGACCUUUGUUGUGGGGGUUAAGACCAAAUUUUUAAAUAAUUGAAGUGCAAAAGAUUCAGACAUGAUGUUGAUCCCCACAACAGGAUUAUAGAGAGCAUCAAAUCGAUCAGAAUCAUAAGCACAGCGUAUAGUUAUAGAGGGUGUGUCCAAACGGAUCACCUCAGAGGAAAGCUCUGAUUCCUCCAACCAUUCGCUACUCAUGACUGAGAUAAGCUCUCUCAAUUGAUGUUCACUUGGUAAACAAAUGCUAAAAUGGCCGUUUUGGGGUCUAUUAGUAGAAUGGUAGUUUGAAAUAUUUCCAAAAACGGCAAAAAGAUCAGAUUCUAUAUCAGGAGAGGUAUUCCUUCGAGGGCUCCUCUCAACUCUAUGAUGAACCUGUUCUCCUCCAGGGGCCAGGGGGUCUGGUUUUAUAGUCCCCUCAGGUAAACAUUGGCCGUUGGAUCAAACCGACAUUGAUUGUUAUCCUUGAUCCUUUGGACGUGAUUGGGCAGAACUCUUGGGCGACCGCCCUAGGGGGGUGGGCGGCCGCCCUGCCCCCGGGCCCGACUACCUUCCCGUUCGUUCCCGUGGCUUCUGGAUUCUUCUAGAUGGUAGAAAAUUGCGCGGUGCGUUGAUAUCUCUAUGUAAUCCCGACAUGUGGGCCUUUCUUCCUUAUUUCCUGAUAACCCCCUACAGAAAUAGAUAGACAACAAAACUCAUGGAAUUCUGUCAGAUCAAACCCUAAUUCUAGGUGUUGUUUGUAUAUUGGUCCUUUCCCUUGUUUAUUUGAUAAUUAAAAUUGAUACUUAAGAACCGUCAACAGCCACCACCAUCAUCACAUCCAAUUCUUACAGAUGGCUAUGACCUCGACCCUAAUCUAAUAGCCAUGAUUCAGGAGCAACCCUUCUCUGGGCAAGUAGAUGAAGAUCCAUACAACCACCUUAGAGAAUUCGAGCAGUUGUGCUCUUGCCGAUCUAUUUCUGGCAUGACACAAGAAACCCUUAAAUGGAAAUUAUUUCCGUUCUCCCUUUUGGGAAGAGCAAAAAAGUGGUAUGCUUAUUCUGUAGGAGGCGUUAAUGGAAAUUGGGAUGAUCUUCAGGACAAAUUUUGUCUCGCUUUCUUCUCACUUUUUCGAAUCACUGACCUUAGAAUCAAAAUUCUUACAUUCAAACAAAGAGAGAAGGAAACUUUAGGAGCAGCUUGGGCUAGGUUCACAAGCCUUAGCAAUUCCGGUCCAAACCUUUCCCUGCCUAACCAUGUAUUGUACUACCACUUUUAUCGUUGUCUAAACAAGGAAGCUGCUCUUCACAUCGACAUUGCUUCAGGAGGCUCAUUCACACAAAAACUAACAGAGGAGGGGAGAGCUAUCCUAGGGAGAAUCCUUGAAAAUACCCCUUACACAGGCAUUUAUGAUGAGUUUCCUGAAGAAGAAAAAGAAGUCAAGCCUGAUCCUAAACCAAAAGAUGAGGAACUUGCAACCGAGUUAGAAAUUCCACCUGACCCAUCUAUUAAUUUGGUUGUAGAGAAACCUCGUGAUAAGGGAAUGCAAAACCAACUAAGGGAUGAUGAACCACCACCUUUAGAGCAACCCUUUGAAUUCGAGGAUGAUCUUUUUGAAGAUUAUGGAAACACCUCGAAUUUUCCUAUCGAAACACGACCUCUAGCAGGGACCACUCAAUCCGUUCUAAAAGUAGAAUCUGUUCACAUAGAACACAUCAAAAGCCUUUUGGCUAUAACAGAAGCUGAGCUAUCUCCUGGGGUAGCUCGAAUCAUCACUCCUUCAACCAUUCUUCUGUGCCAAAUAAGAGGCUCUGCUAGGAAGGUCCACUACAAUCCAUAUGUUGGGAUAAAUGUUAUUUCCAAGGAGUUAGCUGACACUCUUUAUCCCAACGAGUCCAUAACCCCAUGUCAGAAACUUUUACAAAGUCCAUCUAGAUUAAUACUAUAAAGCCAUGGGGUAUUAAGGGUAGUUCCUGUUAGAAUCAAGGACUCUUGAAUAUGUCUAGAUUUUCACAUUUUUGACAUACCAGAGAUUCCUCUCUUGAUUGGCAGACCAAUCAUGAAACUUCUACAAGGACAACCACAACGAGGUCAUUUAGACUUCAAGGUUGGGAAUUCCACUAUUGUUGUUCCUCUUGCUAGAUCGAUUAACAUGAUAGUGGAACCCAAACUUGAACCACAUCCUAUUGAGGAGAUCUUAAUGCUGACUCAAGAGGAGAUGGCCCAACCAUUCUUUAAUCAUGAACAACUUGUUCAAGAAGAAGAAGAGUUGGUAGAACCCGUUGAGCUAAACAAAAAUGAACAACACNNNNNNNNNNNNNNNNNNNNNNNNNNNNNNNNNNNNNNNNNNNNNNNNNNNNNNNNNNNNNNNNNNNNNNNNNNNNNNNNNNNNNNNNNNNNNNNNNNNNACCUUCAGAAGGUGAAUGUUGUUCAUUUUUGUCUAGCUCAAUGGGUUCUACCAACUCUUCUUCUUCUUGAACAAAGUGUUCAUGAUUAAAGAAUGGUUGGGCCAUCUCCUCUUGAGUCAGCAUUAAGAUCUCCUCAAUAGGACCUUGUUCAAGUUUGGGUUCCACUAUCGUGUUAAUGGAUCUAGCAAGAGGAACAACAAUAGUGGAAUUCCCAACCUUGAAGUCUAAAUGACCUCGUUGUGGUUGUCCUUGUAGAAGAUUCAUGAUUGGUCUGCCAAUCAAGAGAGGAAUCUCUGGUAUGUCAAAAAUGUGAAAAUCUAGACAUAUUCCUGAGUCCUUGAUUCUAACAGGAACUGCCCUUAAUACCCCAUGGCUUUCUAGAAUUAAUCCAGAUGGACUUUGUAAAAGAUUCUAAGAUGGGGUUAUGGACUCGUUGGGAUAAAGAGUGUCAGCUAACUCCUUGGAAGUAACAUUUAUCCCAACAUAUGGAUUGUAGUUGACCGUCCUAGCGGACCCUCUAAUUUGGCACAGAAGAAUGGUUGAAGGAGUGAUGAUUCGAGCUACCUCAGGAGACAGCUCAGCUUCUGUUAGCCAUUCAUAACCUAGAAUAGCCGAAAGGCUUUUGAUGUGUUCUAUGUCAACAGAUUCUACUCUUAGAACGGAUUGAGUGGUCCCUGCUAGAGGUCGUGUUUGGAUAGGAAAAUUCGAGGUGUUUCCAUAAUCUUCAAAAAGAUCAUCCUCAAAUUUAAAGGGAUGCUCUAAAGGUAGUGGUUCAUCACCCCUUAGUUGGUUUUGCAUUCCCUUAUCAAGAGGUUUCUCUACAACCAAAUUAAUAGAUGGGCCAGGUGGAAUUUCUAACUCGGUUGCAUGUUCCUCAUCUUUUGCUUUAGGAUUAGGCUCGACUUCUUUUUCUUCUUCAGGAAACUCAUCAUAAAUGCCUGUGUAAGGGGUAUUUUCAAGGAUUCUCUCUUGGAUAGCUCUCCCCUCAUCUGUGAGUUUGUGUGUGAAUGAGCCUCCUGAAGCAAUGUCGAGGUGAAGGGCAGCUUCCUUGUUUAGACCACGAUAAAAGAGGUAGUACAAUACAUGGUUAGGCAGGGAAAGGUUUGGACCGGAAUUGCUAAGGCUCGUGAACCUAGCCCAAGCUGCUCCUAAAGUUUCCUUCUAUCUUUGUUUGAAUGUAAGAAUUUCGAUUCUAAGGUCAGCGAUUCAUAAAAGUGGAAGAAAGCGAGACAAAAGUUGUCCCAAAGUUCAUCCCAAUUUCCAUUAACACCUCCUACAGAAUGAGCAUACCACUUUUUUCCUCUACCCAAAAGGGAGAACGGAAAUAAUUUCCAUUUAAGGGCUUCUUGUGUCAUGGCGGAAAUAGAUCGGCAAGAGCACAACAGCUCGAAUUCUCUAAGGUGGGUGUACGGAUCUUCAUGUACUUGCCCAGAGAAUGAUUGCUCCUAAAUCAUGGCUAUUAGAUUAGGGCCGAGGUCGUAGCCAUCUGUAAGAAUUGGAUGUGAUGAUGGUGGUGGCUCUAAUAACUCGCCCUUUAGAGCAAAUAAUUCAUAGAUAGGAGUGAAAUCCAUGUGGUAUGGUGAAAAUGGUAAGGUGAGUGUGGUAAAAAAAGGAAAAGAAAAAGGAUACACGGACGACUUGGUUCGAAACUAGCACAGCUACCGCUCCCAGGCAAGGGCGCCAGAAAGCUUGUUGGGUAUUUUAAACGCAAACAGAAAAAUCCGCAAGCGCACGGAUACUGAUGUAGCUUUCACCCAGGAGUAUUCCAGAGUAUCAAUUUUCCACAUGGAACGUGAGUGUACUAAUUAAGAUUCAAGAUCGCCCAAGGAUAACUAUAUAACUAUUUUUGGUGGGAAGAGAAGAAGUUUCCUGAGAGUUCUCUAGUUGAUCUAAGAAUCAAGAAUUACUUCAAAGAUUAUUUAUUUUGGGACAUCAGAACACUAACCAUAGAAAGAGAUGAGAAGGGGCUAGGAAGCUCUGACUACGGUCCUACAAACACCGAUCCGAGCGAGGUGGAAUACGUCGACCGUUAGGGCUGUCACUACCCUAGGGCUACCACAACAAUCCGCAGGAUUGGGUGCAAUUCCAGGUAAUUGCAAGACUAAACACCACGUCUAAUCUAUUAAUUACUACUCUAGCAUUAUAAAGACUAGAGCACUUGAUGCAAGCGAGAAUCCAGUAAAUAACUUGAAUGUAAAUAACCUGAUUGGCUCUUGUAGCUGGGCAGGCGCCAAAGGGGGGAGGGCGGGCACCCUGCCCCUGAGCCCGCUCGGCCUCCUGUGGCUUCUGGAGUCUUCUAGAUGAUAGAAAAUUGCCGCACACGUUAAUAUCUCUAUGUAAACCCGAUGUGUGGGCCUUUCCUCCGUAUUUCCUGAUAACCCCCUACAAAAAGAGACAAACACCAAAACUUGUGGAAUUCUGUCAGAUAAAACCCUAAGUCUGGGUGUUAGUUGCAUUUUGAUCCUUUUCUUUAUUUAUUUGAUGACUAUAUUUGGUACUUAAGGACCGUCAACACCGACUGAUCCGGUUUGCCGAUACUUUUGGAUAUAUCCUGUCCAACCGCCGAUGUUGAGGGUGUUCUACUUUGUAAUCAGGCUUUCUAUUGAAGAGACUACCAUCAUUGGCAGUUGAGAUGUCUAGGCCUAUAAGCAUGAGCACAUCGGCAAGACUAGGGGAUGCUGGGCCAUGACCAAACAUAAAAGUAUUCAAGGUAUCUGACCAGAAAUAGGAGGUUGCUAUCAUCAUCGACUCAUUUUUCUCCAUAUCAGCGAUGGAGAGUCUGAUGCAUUGAUCCAAUUUGCAUUCUACCCAGUAUACCUCGUUAGCCCCACUAACUCUCAAAAAUCAAUCCUUCCAUUCCUUAGUGGUUUUUGGCCAGGAUCGGAAGGUGUCUUUCCAUAGAUUUAGAGAAAAGUUUUCAGCUCUCAAAGGGAUUCUAUUGUUUUCUGCGUUUAUUAUAUCGGUUGGAUCUGGGUUACCCAUCGGACGCAAACAUUGAACGUGUGGUUGAUCAGUUGGAAUAAAUAUUUUGUUGCUCAGUUAAGUUUGAAAGAUUAGAAAGAAAAGAAAAGAAAAGAAAAGGAAAAUACUGAGUGUAUGAACUUGCAAAAAUAAAGGGAGCUACGGUAGGAAAAAGAGAGGAUAGAAAUAGGAUUAACCUUGGGUACGUUGAAGUUGAUGGCCAUUUCUUCCAAGUGAGAUGAAGAUGAGACCAGGGGCUUGAAGGUCCUGUCUUGACGGUCCUGCUGUAGAAGAGCUUUUCGCUAUCAAAGUUCUGGAUUUCAUCAUUAAGGUCGUUGCUAGAAGAGAUGAGAUUGGACAUAGCGGAUGGCAAGGUAGAAGAUGAGUGCUAGGGAAGGAAGUAUUUAUAAUUUGAGUUGAGUGGGGGCAUUUUAGACUUAUGUCUCUACCACAUCCGUAAAAUUUGAGGUUGUUCAGAUGGAUUUGGUAACUAUUCGCACGACAAUCAAGGAAUUGGACAAACGAUUUGAUGGCAAGUAAUCAUGAUCUUGAAGAUAUUCUAUUGUGCGCAAUAUUUUAACAAACCAUUGGCAGCAUAUCUUGAUGUCAAAUCUUUACCGAUGGGCGGUUUUCCCUAUGAAUUAGCAUUGAUCGGGGUGUGGGUGGUUGAGAGAUCUAUGAUGUUUACUGAGAUGCAAAGAUCAAGGCUGAGUUGGUUUGGAUUUGGUCAUAGAUUUUUACUAGAAGGAAAGUAGUUAUGAAAAGGUCAUCAUUAUCUAGAGUAAAUUUUGAAGCAUUAAUGAUUUUAUACUCCAAAAUUGGGGGGCAUGUGUUGACACCAUUUUUUGGUAUAAGUCAAGAUGAUUAGGGAGAAGUAAUUGGUAGUAGGGAGGUUGCUCUGCUAGAUUGAUAGGAGAAUGUCGAUAGCCGAUACAAAUGAUGCCGAUGACAGGUGAUGGUUGGUGGAAAGAUUUUGUUAGCUCGGGGUUGAAAGUGAUAUCUACUGGUUGUUUGUUGGUACCCCUUAUCUUAUAAUUAUAAACAUCAUUUUAAUAAAUAAAAUAAAUAGAUGGUAGGGCUUUGAACUAACCUUUCCACAAGUUUUGUUGCAAAUAUCAAUUUCAGGUAUGACACGUGGAAAGGCGCAAAAGACACGAGAAAGCGCACUUCAAAAUAGCGUAUUCAGAAAAGGCAGAAAUCAAAGAUAAAUGGGAAAGCCCACCAAAACACCGAACUGGAUCCAUCCGUAACCACGGGAAGGAUCAGGGCCCAGAGACAAAACGACCACGCGAAUGCGGUGGCCAGGGGGGCCCACCAGUGGUGCGGCCGCACCCCCUUUGGCGGCAACUAGGUCUCAACUUUUUCAGGUGGUUGCAUGGCGGCAUGCAUAGGACGGUUUCACCUCCUCCCAAAUUUAGAUCACCAUGAACCGUCCUUGUUGGGAAAUAAAUAGAUGGCUCCACACCAUUCAACACACACACCAUCAUUUGGAGCAAUACACCUCACAUUUCUACACUUGUUCUUUAGUUUAGAUUUAGUAGUAGAGCAAGGCAAAUCUAGCAAGGAGAGCUUGUCUCAUUGGAGGAUCUUAGAGAUUCUUGGUACGAAUACAAUUCAGUUCUCCUCCAUGAGCAAGUUCUUAUCUUAUUUAUAUGAUUAUGCAAUUGAAUUAGAGUAUAGUUGUGUUCAUAUCUUGUUCAUAGUAUAUGAACUAGUUCUUAGUUCUUGUGUUAUGUUCUUGAUGUGUUCAUGCUUAUUCUUUAUCGUUCAUCAAAUUAGUAUGAAUAGACAAAGGAUUAAGAUUGGGGUAACGGUUCGUUGGGCUGUGAUGGCCACUCUUAGCCGAGCCUGUCAAUCCGAAGGGUUGGGGUCCCGGGAGGCUAGGAGGCGUUUCCAAUUACACGGGCGAGGUGCUCGGGUAUGCGGAGAUCAGCGGAUCCGUAGGUAUCUUUCGGGUAGAGGGGUAGGUGGCAGGGUAGUGACAGCCCUGUCAUCCCUGGUAUUCCCCCACAAUCAGGUAUUCCGAUAGGAGUUCUGUAAAGUCCCUAUCGGCUGGAUGUCCAGCUGCGGGGAUCUCCCCAGAGCCUCAGACUUAGUUCUAACUCUAGUUAUAUUAAUUAGAUGUUCUACUAACAAUUCUUUGCAUAGUUAUAUAAGAUCAAUGCCGGCUCAAGUAGUUGUUCUUUAUUUCUUUUAUUUCCUUAUUUUCUCUUUAUUCCUUGAGGUUGCCCUGAUGAGUGUGUCCACUAUCCAUAUUUUAAGAGCCUGCCGUGACCCCUGAUUAGACUAUGUCUACCUAUGCAUCUCAAUAAGUGAUCAUGCUACAAACCAAGCUAGAUGCAUUUGUUACGCCCUCCUACGGGAUUAAAUACGAUAACCCUUGAAUACUCAUGGGUUGAAAUGCUACAAUGAUAGUUCUGUUCGCUUGCAGUUUUAUUCUUUAUAUUCAUGAACUAUUGAUUGGUGUACCUAAGUGUCACAGAACCGACCAAAUUAUAAGAGUUCAAGUGCAGAAACGAUCGACCAGCAAUCAAGUUUCCAAACUUGAGCCCAUAUAAUCCCGGUAGUCAAUUGAAAUCACGAAGGACUUCAAACCAACUCGCAACAAACCAAGAUCGUAAUAGUUCAACAUAAACACAACGAAUGUUACAUAGUCAUACAUUGCCGUCGAAGCGGCACCACAUCGGAGUAUUAAGUUAUUCCAACACUUGUUCGAAAUAGCGGAAGCAAAAUAGUUACACACACAUUCCAAAGUUCAGUUCAUAAGUUCAGGUUACUGCCAGAGUCUACACCACCCUUCCAAAAGCAACAGGUACGAAGUUGUUAGAGAACCGUGCCCAACGGUUAAUCCUCAUCCCCAGCGGGAUGGAGACAGGUCUUGCAGAAACCGUCAUAGAAGAUGUCAUCUGCAACAGGUGGGUGUUGACGGUCCUUAAGUACUAAAAUUAAUAAUCAAAUAAACAUGAAAAAGGAUCAAUAUGAAACAAACAUCUAGAAUUAGGGUUUUAUCUGACAGAAUUCCACGAGUUUUGGUGUUUAUCUAUUUCUGCAGGGGUUUAUCAGAAAAUAUGGAGAGAAGGCCCACAUGUCAUGUUUACAACGAGAUAAUUACGUGCCGCGCAAUUUUCUUCCAUCUAGAAGGAUCUAGAAGCCACGGGAACGAACGAAAGGCGAUUCGGGCUCGGCGGCUGGGCGCCCGCCCACCCCCCUUGGGCGCCCGCCCUGGCCAGGAAGCCAAACAGGACUCUGCUUCGCGGCAAGACUCCACCGACCUAAAGGAUCAAUCUAAACCAUACAAUCUAUGUCAGUUUGAUCCAAUGGCUCACGUUCACUUGAGGGGACUAUAAAACCAGGCCCCGUGGCCCCUGGAGGAGGAGAGGAGAAAUCAUUAUUCAGAGGUAGCCAUCAAAGUUAGGGUUUAGAUCUCUCUCCCACAGAGAAUUAGAAUUAGCUACUCCCUAAUCCUUCAAGUUUAGAGGUUGAUUAGAUAGCAAUUAGAGAAGUAGAGCACUACGCUCUGGAUUCGGAUCUUCGGUAAUAAAGAUUGGUAUUAUUCAUAUCUUUCUCUAAUUCUAUUGUUCUAAUUGCAUUAUGUCUCUAAUUAUUAUGUUCUUAGUUUGCUCUAGUUCUAUAUUUGAUAUAGUUCUAAUUGAUAAUGAGUUUAUGUAUAAGUUUGCAAAGCGCUUAGCUCUUGACGCGAGGGAGUUAGGUGAUAGAUCACAUGUGAGCGUGGUGCUUAGAUGUUAUUUAUCUGCAAAUGUAUUCUAUUGGCCGGGUCGUGUGGUAGUUCGCGAUAGUGACAGCUUCGUUGAUUCUUAUAUAGUCCACCCUCCGUUGAUAGGACAGGCAGAACCGGUAUUGUGGAGUAAGUCAUGCGAUGCUCUGAUUUACUUUAUCAAUGUUCCUUAUACAUGAAUGAAGAGUCUUUUAUGCUAUAUAUGAUCUUGUAGAUAACUAGAGUAGAUUAUGACUUAGUAGUUAGUGGAUAACUUAGAAUCCAUUCUCUAGCUAAUCCGACAUCACCUACAUAUAUGAGUAGUCUAUUUUCUAAUCGCUGUGCUAUCUACCCAUGAACUUAUACUUUAUUAUCAUUAUCUUUAUGGUUUACCCCCUGCUAAAGUAAGUGACUGUGUGACAAGUUUCUCAUUAGUAAUCAUGUUCUUGCAAGUUUAUCUCUAGUCUAUCUAAGUGGUGUUAGCUAGUGUCAACAAGCAUUUCUGGCGCCGUUGCCGGGGAAUUAUAGGAAUUAUAUGAGCCUCAGGAAUAAGUCAUAAAAGGGAACAAAAGGGUAAUAUUAAGGAAAGCCAAAAAAUCAAUCAAGGUUAUUCAUAUAAAAUAUUAGACUAGACUAUAGAGAAAUAAUUGCAUAAAAACAGCUACUAAGUGAGAAAUCGUAACAAGGCACCUCUGCUUUGGCAGGUUCACCCUGUUGUUUUUCUAUGUUUAUAUUUUUAUACAGGGUAUAACAGGAUUGACUCUGGGUACAUUCAACUCUUCAUCAUCAGAACCAAAGCAAUCAAGAGAAGAAGAAGCUAGCUACCAAUUGUUGAAGCUAUGGCACAAAAGACCUUGCAAGAAUUCUCUGCUCCAAGUCUUGAGAACAUUCCAAUCGGUCCAAGAUUUGCAGUAGAAGAAGGAAUACCCGAGUUUGAGCUCAAGUCAAGCCCCAUCAAUUUGGUGCAAGCUACACAAUUCAGUGGAAAGGCACAUGAAGAUGCCAGUGCACACUUGCAGAAUUUCUUAGAGAUUGGAAGUACAAUCCACACUAACGGAGUUGACAAAGACGUCAUACUGCUUCGCCUUUUUCAAUUCUCACUAGAAGGGAAAGCGAGGAAGUGGUUCUACACUCAUCAAGAUAACAUCAACAACUGGACGAACUUGUCAGAUGCCUUUCUAUCAAAGUUUUUCCCUAUAGGCAAAACAACUGCCUUAAGAGGAAAUAUUGUCAGUUUCCAACAGCAGAAGACAGAAGCCAUUUCAGAAGCAUGGGAGCAUUUUCAAGGAUACAUAUCAGACUGUCCUCACCAUGGAAUGGCUACAUGGUUACUUAUGCAGACCUUCUACCAUGGAUUAACCCAGAAGACUCGUGAGUGCCUAGAUGCAUCUGCUAAAGGAUCAUUCUUGGAGCUUACAACUGGAAAAGCAGAGAUACUUUUGGAUAAGAUAGCAGAAAACCAAAGCUGGUUCCAAGAUAAAGCUCAACAAUGUCAUCAAACUGAAGAAAUACCAGAAGAAGUAAAUGCAUUAUCAACUAAGAUGGAAAAUUUGCUCCAUUGGAUUGACCAGAGGGCCAAGUUCAAGGAAGACCAAAGGGCCAUUGAGACAGCAUAUAAAUAUCAACCAACUUCGAGUCAACCCAAUAGCAAAGGUAUGAAUUCAGGUAAUACUGUCAAGCAACUUUCAUUAAAAGAGAUAAUUGCUCAACAAACCAAAAUUAAUGAUGAAGUUAAACAAAGGCUAGAUACAAAUGAAUCAUCUCUAAAAGAUAUACACAAUAAAAUGGAUUUUCUACUAACUGCCUUUGAUGAGCAAAACACUCUUAAUAAAAGGGUAGAGCUUAAAUUAAUAAAAUUAGCUGCUGCACUGCCUGUUGCUACUAACAUUGAGCAGGUAAAGAAUAUAACUACUAGAGGAGGUAAAGCUACCAGAGAUCCACCAUACCCAAACGAGAAACAAAGAACAUCAGCACCAGUGCAACCAGCAGUGAUAGAAGAAGAAUGUAACAGAACCGUCCAAUUUAUAAGAAUUCAAGUGAAUUAGCGACCACGGAGGCAGUCAAGCCAAUGGACUUGAACCCAUAUAAACCCGGUAGUCCGACGAAAUCUCAAAAGAUCUCGAUUCAACCAACAUACAACCAAGAUCGUACAUGAUCAAGCAUCACCAUCACAGAUUACAACAUUCAUCACAGAACAUAGUUUUACAUCACAUCAGAGUUUAAAGUGGUUACUACAAACCAUAGCGGUAGCGGAAACAAAGUAGUUUUGAACAACACCAACUUAGUUUAUAAUACAUGCUAGUUCCAUGGUCAAGUCCCAACAAAAGCACAACUGAAGAUAAAGGUGGUGAUCACGCCCAUGAUCUAUUCAUCAUCCGCGGCCGGGUGUUGACACUUAGCACAGUAGCCGUGAUAAACGACGUCAUCUGCAAUAGGGGUAAAUAAAACCCUGAGUACGAGAAUGUACUCAGCUAGACUUACCCGUCAUAAACCAGAAAUAAAGUGACACCAAGGAGUAUGCAAGGCUGAUCUCUGUGGACUGGUUUGACUCAUCUUUUGCAUAAAAGCGUUUGUUAUAAGUAACUCAUUUAUUAAAUUCAGCAGCAAGUUUAUUACUUAGCAACUAUCCACUAGAUUAGCACCUGUUCUAAGCAUACACUUGAGUUUUAAGCAUUACAAUAAUAACCAUAUCCGGAUUAUCACAUAGCCAUCACCAUUCUCAUCAUAACCAUUAAGUUUAUUUAGUAAAUUCUACGUUGCCGCUGCCCAAGUCAAGUUCUCACUAUCUGGGAGAGACGGCGAUUCGAAUCGAUUCCUAUCCAGCUGGAGGGGUAUUCCUAACACUCACCCAAGCAUACUUCAUGACGGCAGCUCGGAUCACCUUUAGCACAACUCCGGACCAAUUCGCGGGUCCGUACGGCGCCGCACCCCCAGGGACCGCCAAUCUGCCAGGGUCAGGACUCUAACCUGACACCUCGGUCUUACGCCAUUGACUCCCCGCACAUCCUUACUACCAACCGGGGUGCGCACUUUAACCAGAUCGGGGUAUCCGGCCGGAGUUGCACUCGUAGGCUUCGCGGUCGGAACGACUUAUCCGGCCAACUAAGUGAUAGGCAUGCGUUCAACAUGACACGGGGACGUACAGCGAUUCGGUCCUUAAACGACACAGACGGGGAUAGGUUCACACCCAAGACCUCCAUGCCUUGUUGCUGCACUAUCGUCAUCCCGCCCGGUCUCAAAUUCAUUAUUAACACAUGGUUAUUUCCACGAUAGCAAAUAUAGCCAACCGUGAUCAUCAUCCACCUAACUCUCGCAGGUGACAGGAAAUCACCCGGCUUCUACCGAGCUAAGCAUGGCUAAGCAUUACUUCGAUCCUGGACCUACUUUGGUAUUGUUUAAGGUGGACAAGGUAGUCAUUAUGCAGCAAGGGUGUCAUAUCAACGCCUACCACUUAAUGCAACAAUAUAUAACCAUAGUCAUUUGAUAGCUGAACAUGAUAAUAAAAUAGUAGGAGGCUUAUAAUGCUCCGGGGCUUGCCUUCGACGUAGGUAGAGGGACGAUGGUCAGGGCACUCCGGCAAGUCCUCCUCCUCCUCAGCUCCUUGAGGUAGCUCCCUUUGCUGUUCUUCCGGCUCCGGCAGCUCGUACUCCAACACGGUCACGCCCUUGGGUACACCUAUGUAUGCAUGACAAGGACAUGAAUAUAGAGAAUGCACAAAUGAUGCAUGAUGUCAUGAUGAAGAGCCAAAGGGACAUAAAACAAGGUAUAACAUGAGCAUAAGCUUCUAAGAUUAAGUGAAUCAUGGAACAACAAGUAAGUGCAUACCUCUUCUCUGAUAGAGAGACUAAAUAGACAAGUUAACAAAUCCUAGUUAUGCCUACUCAGCCACUGGUUUAGUAGACAAACCAACCAGUCACAAGUAUCAGCCAUAACUCAAGCAUCUGUUAACCAAAUUAAGCAAGUAAGCACUUUCUGGAAAGCUUAGUAAAUUGUCUACAAAUCACUUUUAGACAUCCCAGGAUGAUUCCCAACCAAAAUAUGCUAAAACAUACAAAGUUGACUGGCUGCUCUGGAAAUUUCAGAGAGCAAGCACUUUGCAGCAGCUACUUGAAACAUGCAUAACUUUCAAACUACUCAACCAAAUGCCAUGAAAUUUGGAAACGAAGUACAUCAGUAAGUUAGCUACAAGUUUGUUGUAGACAAGUUUCCCAGAAAUUAACAUCUUUAAUUAGUUCUCAAGCAUUUGCUAUCAGCUACACAGAAAUGCUCUAGGAAAGGUAUAAAUAGCCAAAAAUAAUAUUUUGCACAUGUUGAGAAUGUAUCAAAGGAAUAAUCUAAUUGCACCAGUAGGUACAACAUAUCUAAGAAACACCAGAAAAUAUCAUGGCAAGGUCUAAAACUAUUUCUAUCAUCACCUUUUCCAUUUAUUUAAUUAUUAAGGUGAUUUAAUGAACAUAUACUCCAAGUGUUCCAAAAAUUCUAAGAACAUUACAGCAAGCUACUUAUGCUAACAUAAGAUCACUGAAAAAUUUUCAGAACAUUUGCAAAUACAGAUUGGGAGAUACAAAAACAACAAGCUAGUAAAGGCAUGCAAGGCAUAAAUAUGAAACCUUAUCAAAAAGUGUCAAACAGCAGAUUUCAGAUUUUUCUUAGCCUUGUUUACACAUGAGUACAACACUCAGCAAGUUUCAUCACCAAAGGAGUUAUAACUUAAUUAUUAAAAAUACCACAAGAAACCCCUAUUUAAGCAAGAACUAUUUUUUAACUUCACAACUAGGCUUCCAAAAAUCAUGAUAAAUUUAUCAGAGCCUAGUCAUAACAUAGCUAACAACACCCUAAAUUUGCAUGGCCAGCAGAUCAAUAGAUUUCAAGAUAUAAUUACCUCCUAUUUAAUCAAGAUUAAAUCAUAUCUAUUUAUUUCUACAAAAACAUGGCAUGUUUCAUAUUUUUAAUAGCUAAUAUCCACCAAGAGGAAGCUAACAAAAUUGGUUUCACUCAAAACGGAUCCCUGUAGCUUGAGAUAUUGAAUUUACAAACUUCCAAAAGAAAAACAUAGAAAAGAUUAAAACGAAAAUAACCAAACCCUAAGAACUACUACACGCACCCAGUGCUGAGUACCCCAAAGGCUGGCAGCUGGGACCCAAGGUCAAUCUGGACCCACACGUCAUAAGGACAAAAACAGGGGAGCUACUUUGACCGGCCAUAGCUCGCCGGCGGCGAACUUUCCGGCGACGCGACCACCACCAACAGACUCCUUCCAUUGAGACGCAUCUAUCAGGAUAGGUUACCGAGGAAACGCAUCGACUUUCACAGAACGGCAAAGCAAGAGGUGGCUCCCGUACGUACGCAGCACGGCUGCAGGCCAUGGCACCCGCCUGCGGCCAACUUGGCCGAAGGCCGGUCAUGCGAGCGGCCGCAGCCCUACUUUACUGAGAACGAGAGGGAUAGAGAGUAGCGAGAGGUGCCGGACGCAAUGGCGAUGCACGAGCUUCACCUCAGCAACAUCCAUGGCGGCGGCGGCUGUCCUCUUUGGCCUUGGCGACGAGUACGAUGUGGACGAACAGGUGGGCGAUUGCCUUGGCGGAGUCGCACGGCGCUCGGCUUUAUUCGUAGCUAUGUGGGGCCAAUAUCGACGCACGGCAUCCACGCGGCGCAAGCCAAGCAGAGCUGGUCGACCACGACCCGACUCCAACCAAAUCGAAGUCUGAUCAGAAACCAGCAAAAGUACUGCAAAAAUACGUCUGAACUCGAAACUUCGCUGCCCUCCAACUCCCAAACCAGUGCGAACUAGCAAAAACUUCAGUGACACAAGUUGGAGAGCUGAAUGAGUACUCCAACUUUGAUUAUAAGAGUUUGGUCUAGUUCAGCUUAAAUUAGAAACUACGAGCUGCCAAAGUACCCUACACGUAAACUGGCAUUCAGUUUCGUCAGUUCCCACACUUAGCCAAAAACUGCCAUGUCCAAACAGCCCCUAAAUUUACCUUGUGUGCAUUUUUUUGAGCAUGUUCUGCACAGUUUCAUGAGAUGGCCUUAAAACAACUUUUGUAGCCUAUAAAAUUUUCUACAACUUGGCUUUAGGGGUCAUUGACAUGCAAGGUUUCUAACACAGGUUUCAUAAAAGAUCUUUAAAAAGAGGUUUAGGAGGUCAACUAGGUCAACCUAGGGCUAACCAUGACUUAGGGGCAUUUUUGGGUGCAACCUCCAACAUGAACUAUGUUCACAAUGAUGUUCUAAACAUGAUUAAAGUAUUUUGGACAAGAUCGCACACUUACAUGUAUUGAUCACCCACUAAAGUCACUCAAAACAAGUCACACAAGCAAUUUAAUCACAUAGUGCAUGUAGUAGAUGGCAUGUGAUCAUGGUAUGAUGCUCAUGAGUGAUCAUGAUGAUGCUUAUGUUGAUGCAAUGCUCAUGGUUAACAUGCAAGCUAACAUUAGGAGUGUUACAGCCCUCCCCCCUUACAAAAAUCUCGUCCCGAGAUUUGAAAGACGUACCAUUUUUCGUAGAAUGAGGGAUAAGUUACUUGUAAAUAGUCUUCCCUUUCCCAAGUGGCAUCUCUCUCAUUUUGACGGUUCCACAAAACUCUAAAAAGUUUGAUCACUCUCCCACGAGUAACCCGUUCCUUGACAUCAAGAACUUGCACAGGCUUUUCUUCAUAAGAUAGGUCUGACUGCAACUUGAUAUCUCUUGUUUCAACUCUCUCUUCGGGCACACGAAGACACUUCUUGAGUUGAGACACGUGGAAUACAGGGAAAAUAGCUCUCAUUUCGGGAGGUAGUUGUACUUUGUAAGCUACCUUACCACUCUUCUCAAUGAUUUGGUAGGGACCCACAUACCUAGGGGCAAGCUUUCUUUUAACGCCAAAGCGAUUUACUCCUUUCAUGGGCGAUACUUUUAUGUACACAAAGUCACCUAUUUCGAACUCGAUUGGCUUUCUUCUUCGGUCAGCAUAGCUUUUCUGCCUAGCUUGGGCGGCUCUCAUGUGUAGUUGGAUAACGAGAACUUGCUUUUCGGCUUCCUUGACAAAGUCAAUUCCGUAGUACCUCCUUUCACUAGGUUCAACCCAGUUUAACGGAGUUCUACAUUUGCGGCCAUACAAGGCUUCGAAAGGAGCCAUUUGGAUACUUUCUUGAUAGCUAUUGUUGUAAGAGAAUUCAGCUAAGGGUAACCAUUUCUCCCACGCACCCUUGGAAGAUAUAACACAGGCCCUCAACAUAUCCUCUAGAAUUUGAUUCACACGCUCAGUCUGACCGGAGGUUUGAGGAUGAUAGGCUGAACUGCGAACCAAUUUUGUACCAAGGAGUGAAUGCAGAUGCUCCCAAAAGCGAGCAGUGAACUGAGGACCUCUGUCAGAAAUGAUAGUGCGAGGCACUCCGUGCAAUUUAACUAUCUGAGCGAAGUACAACUCAGCAUAGUCGGAUGGUCGGUAUGUAGAGUGUACGGGAAUAAAAUGGGCUGACUUGGUCAAACGGUCAACAAUCACCCAUAUGGAAUUGUGUCCUUUUUGCGUAAGGGGAAGUCCAACAAUGAAAUCCAUGCUGAUUUCUUCCCACUUCCAACCUGGAAUUGACAAUGGUUGCAAUAAACCUGCAGGUUUGAGGUGAACUGCCUUUACCCUACAGCAAGUAUCACACCUAGCAACAUAAGCUGCUAUCUCUUUCUUCAUUUUGGUCCACCAGAAGCGAGGUCUCAAGUCUUGGUACAUUUUGCUACUACCCGGAUGAAUGGACAACUUGGAAGAAUGAGCUUCUUCUAAAAUUUUGUUGCGUAGGUCACGGUCUUUGGGUACAACUAGCCGAUCGUCAAACCACAGUACACCCUUCUCAUCUACUCGGAAAUGCUUGGUGUCUUGCUCUUGCAUUUUUCUCUUGAUAUGAAAAAUACCAGGAUCAGAUUUUUGGAGCUCUAUGAUUUGACUUUCUAAUGAGCAACUGACUAUGAUGUUGUGUAGGACCACAGGAUGCAAUAAAUUGAAGCCUUCCUCUAGAAGAGAUAUAACAUGUUGUUUUCGACUGAGAGCAUCGGCUACAACAUUGGCUUUGCCUGGAUGAUAGUGCACUUCUAAAUUGUAGUCUUUUAUCAAUUCCAGCCAUCUUCUUUGUCUCAUAUUUAACUCGGGCUGAGCGAAUAUAUAUUUGAGGCUCUUAUGGUCAGUGUAAAUGUGACAAAGGUUACCCAACAGAUAGUGUCUCCAGAGCUUCAAUGCAUGUACAACUGCUGCUAACUCUAGAUCAUGAGUAGGGUAGUUGGCUUCAUGUUUCCUCAGCUGCCGAGAAGCAUAGGCAAUAACUCGGCCUUCUUGCAUAAGCACACAACCUAGGCCAGUGCCAGAUGCAUCACAAAAGACAUCAAAUGGAUUUUCAAUGUCAGGCUGUGCCAGAACAGGAGCGGUGGUCAGCAAAUGGCGUAGAGUGGUGAAGGUAACUUCACACUCCUCAGACCACACAAACUUCACAACUUUUUGCAGUAGCUUGGUCAUAGGUUUAGCUAUUUUGGAAAAAUCUGGAAUGAAGCGCCGAUAAUAUCUAGCUAGACCGAGAAAACUCCGGACUUCGUGCACUGAAGUCGGGGCCUUCCAGUCUAGAACCUCCUGCACCUUUGACGGGUCAACAGAAAUACCCUCUUCGGAUAAAAUAUGGCCUAAGAAAGGCACUUUCUUCAGCCAAAACUCACACUUGCUGAACUUGGCAUAGAGCUGAUGUUCUCGCAAUCUAGUGAGUACAAUCUGAAGGUGCUUCUCAUGUUCUUGUGCAUUUUCAGAAUACACCAAUAUAUCAUCGAUGAACACCCCCACAAACUUAUCCAGUUCAGGCAUGAACACCGAAUUCAUCAGGUACAUGAAAUGAGCAGGGGCAUUAGUCAGACCAAAGGACAUGACUAAAUACUCAUACAACCCAUACCUGGUAGAGAAAGCCGUUUUAGGAAUGUCUUCAAGUCAGAUCUUGAUUUGAUGAUACCUAGAUCUCAGAUCAAUUUUGGAGAAUAGUUUGGCCUUGGCUAAUUGAUCAAACAGGAUAUCGAUGCGAGGCAAUGGAUACUUGUUUUUGAUAGUCACGGCGUUGAGCGGACGAUAGUCUACACACAUACGUAGAGACUUGUCCUUCUUCUUGACAAAGAGAGCCGGACAACCCCAUGGAGAAGAACUAGGCCGAAUAAGACCUUUCUCUAGGAGUUCUUGCAGUUGCUUUUUCAACUCUGCCAAUUCAUUGGGUGGCAUUCGGUAUGGCCUUCUAGAGAUAGGUGCGGUACCCGGAAUUAAAUCAAUUUUAAACUCAAUGUCUCUGUCCGGUGGCAACCCGGGCAGAUCCUCUGGAAAGACAUCCGGAAACUCACACACUACCAGAAUAUCUGCUAAAGUAAGUGGUCGAAUGGCAUUGGCAGCGUGACGGAUGUCAUCAUUCUUGGGAAGCUGGACUAAGAAGGCUUCGUUGCUAUCAGGCUCCCGUAACAUGACUACUCUCGUGGAGGUAUCUAUUAGCACCCCAUGCCUGCUCAUCCAAUUCAUCCCCAGAAUAACAUCUAUCCCUAGGCCUGGCAGUACGACUAAAUCUGCUGCAUAAUUACGCCCUUCUAUGGCAAUAUGUACAUCCCUCACUACUUGAUUCGUAGCAAUUUGAUUACCAGCAGCACUAAUGCAAAAUUUUCCGCUAUCAAGAUCGAUGACAUUUUGCCCAUGCUUAGAUGUGAAUGCUUGACUCAUAAAUGAAUGCGAAGCUCCAGAAUCAAACAAGACAACUGCAGGGUGUUGAUUUACAAGGAACAUACCAGCGGUGACUGCUUCACCUUCCGGAAUUUCUUCAACCGUGGUGUAGUGCACACGACCCAUACGGUUAUUUCCUCCGGCUGCAGCAUUUCUCUUAGGGUAGGGGCAAUCUCUUGCCCAGUGACCAACUUGUUUGCAAUUGAAACAAGGGCGGUUAUCAGGAGGAUUCUUGGGACUUCCUUGACCCGUGGCACCUCUUGGGAGAGCAACUGUGAAGGACUUGCGCACUCCCGUCUUCACAUUUGACUUUUUCUGCGGCGGCCUGUACCUUGUCACAGCAUUGGGUGAGCGAUAGGCCGGCUUGCUUGCCGCUGGAGCCUUGGACUGCGAAGCACCUGCCUCAUAGGCCCUCUUGCGGUUCUUGGAUGCGGGAUACACAGCAUUAGAAUUUUCAUGAGUCAAUGCAUCACUCACAAACUCGUUGAAGGUGGUACUCUUGUUACCAGCCAUGUUCUUGGACAACUUGGGUCCCAACCCUCUCUUGAAACUAGCGAGCUUCUUGGCUUCGGUGUCAACCAUCUCAGGAGCAUAGCGAGACAAAUUGUUAAAAGCAUGAAGAUACUCAGUCAAGCUUUUAGUGCCUUGCGUCAGGUUCAUGAACUCAGUGUGCUUGAUAGUCAUUAAGCCUUGUGUAAUAUAAGUAUUCCUGAAAGCAGUUUGGAACUGGUCCCAGGUUACAACAGCAUUGGCGGGCAAGCUAGUCCUGUAAUGACUCCACCAGACACCUGCUUUGCCCUCCAACUGGUGGGCUGCAUACUCCGCUUUGAGCUCUUCGGUUAACAUUAGCAACCGGAAUUUUUGUUCAAGAGUGUUAAGCCACUCAUCAGCUUCUAGAGGUUCAACAGCCUCCUGGAAAAGCGGCGGCUUGGUGUCGUGGAAAUCCUUAAAACUGCUAUAUUGAUUUGCCUCUCCGCCUUGGCGGGCAUGGCGACCACCCCGGUUCUGCUGCGCCAUAGUUUGCAUAGCCUCAUUGAGCAUACGCUGGCCCUCAACAAGAGCUGUCAAUAGCUCAGUAGGUGUAGGCGGGGGAGGAGGUGGUGGUGGCGGCACCUCGUUGUGACCGGAGCGAGUGUUGCGAGCCAUCUGCACAAGGCAUAUCAAGUGAUCGUUUAGGAUAACAGAUAUGAUUGUCAUGAACUUCAAUUGCUGCCAUACGGAAUUUAAUAAAGUAUAUUCACAUAAAUUAAGGCGCAAUAAUCCAUGUACAAUAAGAGAAUAUCUUCUAUGACACUUGGUUAUUCUCGCGUUCAUUCACAGCCACAAUUCCUCAAGGAUUAACGACAUUGCAGAGAUUUAUUUCAGCUCAACAUAAACAUGGAGCAUCACAAAUAAGUGCAUAAGGUUACAUAGAGUCAGUGCCACAACUUAAGUUUUACAGGAGGGGCACCCUGGCCAAAUACAUAGAGUCUCAACUAAAAUUCAGAUUACAUGUCCAUUACACAAAGAGAUGGAAACUGAUACAUGGUCAUAAAAUCAUUGCUAGGCUACAUAUCUUCCUCGGAUUCUCCAUUAGAGAUGAUGCCAUCACCCUGAUCUUCCUCACUAAGAGCUUCUUCAUGAUCAAAAGGGGCUGGUUGUGGGAUAGGAUUUAUGAUAUUAUUUAAGCGAUGGACAUCCAACUGCAACUCAGCAAUCCUAGUAAUCAGCUCUUCCUCUCUCAUUUCAGCAUGGAACAAGGCUCUAACUCUAGCAGCUUCUCUAUUUUCAGCCAAGCGCAUAGCCUCAUCUCUCUCUAGUCAUUUGCAUCAUGCGGGUUUGUGCCUCAUUGCGCUCUGUAACUGCAUUCGCAACUUGAUUGCGGCGGGCUUGCAAAGCGGUGUGAUAGUUUUGGAUUUCAGCUUGUGCAUCCAUAAAAGCCUUGCGAUGUUUGCGCACUCGUUUGCGCAAUUUGCGCUGCCCAACUUGAGCUCGCUGGAGCGCUAGCAUGGCCUCUAUGUAUGUGUCCUGGCGUACAUAGUGCAGCUUAAGUACCGCUAGCAUGGCACUCAUGGCAGGGCUAGAGCUAUAUCAUAGCAAGAUUUCUCUCAUCUCUAAGGACUCAUUCCCUAUCUGGGACACAAAUUUGUCAGUCACACUCACUCUGGGGAUGGAUCCCGCUGGGCCAUUCACUAACUCAUCACCAAACUCUUGACAUAUUUCUAGCAAAACCUCUAGGGCUGCUACUUGGGCGCCCUCCCAAGGAGUUUGGCCAUCACAGUCAACUAACCACCCUAGCCACUGUGGGUUAUUUGGACAAGGGGGAACGGUAAUUUGGACAUCUACCCAAGGUAAGGCCCCUACAUGCUCAGACUCGGUCCAAGUGUACCUAGGUGGUUCCUCAUAUCCAACUGAACUUAGCACCCUCCACAACAAAGUAGGAGUGCCAAACAUGUCCAGAAAAGUCUCACUCGCGUGCGGGGCUGCCAUCUGUAGAAAGACCACAUUUGAGUAAGGGAGAUUAAUUACAAGGAAAGAUAAAGAAUCAUAUUUUCAGAAUUUAAUACCCAAGUAUUGCAUAAAGAAUGUAUGAAUGAUUCAUGAUGCAUGCACGUUCCAUACAUCCUUUCCAUUCCUAGAAGAAAGUUCUAACGGUAUAUUCGGUGGCAUAUAUACGUACACUCUUUAUACGCAACUACCCGGUCUACACGUUUCGUUGUUAGUGUACCUGCAGAAGAUUCCAUUUCAGCCCAGCCCCACAAUAGUAUAAGUGCAGAAAUGUAAAUCCAAUCACCAACAAUCAAGCUAGGUACUCCGAUAUAUAUUCCCAAACAUAUAUCGCAGCACACUACCCAUUUUGGAUACACCCACCUAUACAUCAAAUAUGUAUACAUGGCUGCACCUACUACCCACAAUUAAGUACCUUCAUAUAUACAUGUGUGAAACAUGUAAAUAUUCCAGUAACCACAGCUAACACUCCCCUAGACCGACGGUUGGACGGUCAUGCUCUCACAGCUCACACUUACCGUAGCGUAGAGGCAUAUAGAUCGAUACAAUACCACUCAAGCAAGUGGCAUCCAUACAAUUUCACGCCGUAUGGACGACGAAAGAAAACAAACAAUGCUUACCAUGGCGUAGAGGUAUGUGAUCCAUUCAUUACCACUUAAGUAAGCGGUAUCCAUAUAAUUACACGCCAUAUGGACGACGAAAGGAAAAACUCCCAUGUUAGUAAUAUUAAGCCACCUAGAAAUCCUUAUAUGGGCAUAAAGGGCAUGACCACUGGCAUGGUAUAAGUUAUCAAAACCAUUUUAAAACAACCCUAUUUAUAACCUAAUUUUGCCAAAUUAGUUUAAGAAAACCAAAUUCAUUUGUUUUCAAAUACAUCUAUGAUGGUUAUAUGCUUAAUCUUGCUCUGAUGCCAGCUGUAACAGAACCGUCCAAUUUAUAAGAAUUCAAGUGAAUUAGCGACCACGGAGGCAGUCAAGCCAAUGGACUUGAACCCAUAUAAACCCGGUAGUCCGACGAAAUCUCAAAAGACCUCGAUUCAACCAACAUACAACCAAGAUCGUACAUGAUCAAGCAUCACCAUCACAGAUUACAACAUUCAUCACAGAACAUAGUUUUACAUCACAUCAGAGUUUAAAGUGGUUACUACAAACCAUAGCGGUAGCGGAAACAAAGUAGUUUUGAACAACACCAACUUAGUUUAUAAUACAUGCCAGUUCCAUGGUCAAGUCCCAACAAAAGCACAACUGAAGAUAAAGGUGGUGAUCACGCCCAUGAUCUAUUCAUCAUCCGCGGCCGGGUGAUGACACUUAGCACAGUAGCCGUGAUAAACGACGUCAUCUGCAACAGGGGUAAAUAAAACCCUGAGUACGAGAAUGUACUCAGCUAGACUUACCCGUCAUAAACCAGAAAUAAAGUGACACCAAGGAGUAUGCAAGGCUGAUCUCUGUGGACUGGUUUGACUCAUCUUUUGCAUAAAAGCGUUUGUUAUAAGUAACUCAUUUAUUAAAUUCAGCAGCAAGUUUAUUACUUAGCAACUAUCCACUAGAUUAGCACCUGUUCUAAGCAUACACUUGAGUUUUAAGCAUUACAAUAAUAACCAUAUCCGGAUUAUCACAUAGCCAUCAUCAUUCUCAUCAUAACCAUUAAGUUUAUUUAGUAAAUUCUACGUUGCCGCUGCCCAAGUCAAGUUCUCACUAUCCGGGAGAGACGGCGAUUCGAAUCGAUUCCUAUCCAGCUGGAGGGGUAUUCCUAACACUCACCCAAGCAUACUUCAUGACGGCAGCUCGGAUCACCUUUAGCACAACUCCGGACCAAUUCGCGGGUCCGUACGGCGCCACACCCCCAGGGACCGCCAAUCUGCCAGGGUCAGGACUCUAACCUGACACCUCGGUCUUACGCCAUUGAAUCCCCGCACAUCCUUACUACCAACCGGGGUGCGCACUUUAACCAGAUCGGGGUAUCCGGCCGGAGUUGCACUCGUAGGCUUCGCGGUCGGAACGACUUAUCCGGCCAACUAAGUGAUAGGCAUGCGUUCAACAUGACACGGGGACGUACAGCGAUUCGGUCCUUAAACGACACAGACGGGGAUAGGUUCACACCCAAGACCUCCAUGCCUUGUUGCUGCACUAUCGUCAUCCCGCCCGGUCUCAAAUUCAUUAUUAACACAUGGUUAUUUCCACGAUAGCAAAUAUAGCCAACCGUGAUCAUCAUCCACCUAACUCUCGCAGGUGACAGGAAAUCACCCGGCUUCUACCGAGCUAAGCAUGGCUAAGCAUUACUUCGAUCCUGGACCUACUUCGGUAUUGUUUAAGGUGGACAAGGUAGUCAUUAUGCAGCAAGGGUGUCAUAUCAACGCCUACCACUUAAUGCAACAAUAUAUAACCAUAGUCAUUUGAUAGCUGAACAUGAUAAUAAAAUAGUAGGAGGCUUAUAAUGCUCCGGGGCUUGCCUUCGACGUAGGUAGAGGGACGAUGGUCAGGGCACUCCGGCAAGUCCUCCUCCUCCUCAGCUCCUUGAGGUAGCUCCCUUUGCUGUUCUUCCGGCUCCGGCAGCUCGUACUCCAACACGGUCACGCCCUUGGGUACACCUAUGUAUGCAUGACAAGGACAUGAAUAUAGAGAAUGCACAAAUGAUGCAUGAUGUCAUGAUGAAGAGCCAAAGGGACAUAAAACAAGGUAUAACAUGAGCAUAAGCUUCUAAGAUUAAGUGAAUCAUGGAACAACAAGUAAGUGCAUACCUCUUCUCUGAUAGAGAGACUAAAUAGACAAGUUAACAAAUCCUAGUUAUGCCUACUCAGCCACUGGUUUAGUAGACAAACCAACCAGUCACAAGUAUCAGCCAUAACUCAAGCAUCUGUUAACCAAAUUAAGCAAGUAAGCACUUUCUGGAAAGCUUAGUAAAUUGUCUACAAAUCACUUUUAGACAUCCCAGGAUGAUUCCCAACCAAAAUAUGCUAAAACAUACAAAGUUGACUGGCUGCUCUGGAAAUUCCAGAGAGCAAUCACUUUGCAGCAGCUACUUGAAACAUGCAUAACUUUCAAACUACUCAACCAAAUGCCAUGAAAUUUGGAAACGAAGUACAUCAGUAAGUUAGCUACAAGUUUGUUGUAGACAAGUUUCCCAGAAAUUAACAUCUUUAAUUAGUUCUCAAGCAUUUGCUAUCAGCUACACAGAAAUGCUCUAGGAAAGGUAUAAAUAGCCAAAAAUAAUAUUUUGCACAUGUUGAGAAUGUAUCAAAGGAAUAAUCUAAUUGCACCAGUAGGUACAACAUAUCUAAGAAACACCAGAAAAUAUCAUGGCAAGGUCUAAAACUAUUUCUAUCAUCACCUUUUCCAUUUAUUUAAUUAUUAAGGUGAUUUAAUGAACAUAUACUCCAAGUGUUCCAAAAAUUCUAAGAACAUUACAGCAAGCUACUUAUGCUAACAUAAGAUCACUGAAAAAUUUUCAGAACAUUUGCAAAUACAGAUUGGGAGAUACAAAAACAACAAGCUAGUAAAGGCAUGCAAGGCAUAAAUAUGAAACCUUAUCAAAAAGUGUCAAACAGCAGAUUUCAGAUUUUUCUUAGCCUUGUUUACACAUGAGUACAACACUCAGCAAGUUUCAUCACCAAAGGAGUUAUAACUUAAUUAUUAAAAAUACCACAAGAAACCCCUAUUUAAGCAAGAACUAUUUUUUAACUUCACAACUAGGCUUCCAAAAAUCAUGAUAAAUUUAUCAGAGCCUAGUCAUAACAUAACUAACAACACCCUAAAUUUGCAUGGCCAGCAGAUCAAUAGAUUUCAAGAUAUAAUUACCUCCUAUUUAAUCAAGAUUAAAUCAUAUCUAUUUAUUUCUACAAAAACAUGGCAUGUUUCAUAUUUUUAAUAGCUAAUAUCCACCAAGAGGAAGCUAACAAAAUUGGUUUCACUCAAAACGGAUCCCUGUAGCUUGAGAUAUUGAAUUUACAAACUUCCAAAAGAAAAACAUAGAAAAGAUUAAAACGAAAAUAACCAAACCCUAAGAACUACUACACGCACCCAGUGCUGAGUACCCCAAAGGCUGGCAGCUGGGACCCAAGGUCAAUCUGGACCCACACGUCAUAAGGACAAAAACAGGGGAGCUACUUUGACCGGCCAUAGCUCGCCGGCGGCGAACUUUCCGGCGACGCGACCACCACCAACAGACUCCUUCCAUUGAGACGCAUCUAUCAGGAUAGGUUACCGAGGAAACGCAUCGACUUUCACAGAACGGCAAAGCAAGAGGUGGCUCCCGUACGUACGCAGCACGGCUGCAGGCCAUGGCACCCGCCUGCGGCCAACUUGGCCGAAGGCCGGUCAUGCGAGCGGCCGCAGCCCUACUUUACUGAGAACGAGAGGGAUAGAGAGUAGCGAGAGGUGCCGGACGCAAUGGCGAUGCACGAGCUUCACCUCAGCAACAUCCAUGGCGGCGGCGGCUGUCCUCUUUGGCCUUGGCGACGAGUACGAUGUGGACGAACAGGUGGGCGAUUGCCUUGGCGGAGUCGCACGGCGCUCGGCUUUAUUCGUAGCUAUGUGGGGCCAAUAUCGACGCACGGCAUCCACGCGGCGCAAGCCAAGCAGAGCUGGUCGACCACGACCCGACUCCAACCAAAUCGAAGUCUGAUCAGAAACCAGCAAAAGUACUGCAAAAAUACGUCUGAACUCGAAACUUCGCUGCCCUCCAACUCCCAAACCAGUGCGAACUAGCAAAAACUUCAGUGACACAAGUUGGAGAGCUGAAUGAGUACUCCAACUUUGAUUAUAAGAGUUUGGUCUAGUUCAGCUUAAAUUAGAAACUACGAGCUGCCAAAGUACCCUACACGUAAACUGGCAUUCAGUUUCGUCAGUUCCCACACUUAGCCAAAAACUGCCAUGUCCAAACAGCCCCUAAAUUUACCUUGUGUGCAUUUUUUUGAGCAUGUUCUGCACAGUUUCAUGAGAUGGCCUUAAAACAACUUUUGUAGCCUAUAAAAUCUUCUACAACUUGGCUUUAGGGGUCAUUGACAUGCAAAGUUUCUAACACAGGUUUCUUAAAAGAUCUUUAAAAAGAGGUUUAGGAGGUCAACUAGGUCAACCUAGGGCUAACCAUGACUUAGGGGCAUUUUUGGGUGCAACCUCCAACAUGAACUAUGUUCACAAUGAUGUUCUAAACAUGAUUAAAGUAUUUUGGACAAGAUCGCACACUUACAUGUAUUGAUCACCCACUAAAGUCACUCAAAACAAGUCACACAAGCAAUUUAAUCACAUAGUGCAUGUAGUAGAUGGCAUGUGAUCAUGGUAUGAUGCUCAUGAGUGAUCAUGAUGAUGCUUAUGUUGAUGCAAUGCUCAUGGUUAACAUGCAAGCUAACACUAGGAGUGUUACAAAGAAAGCCCAGUUGAAGCAGAAGAUCUGCUCCAACCACCAAGAACUAGAGAAAUGAGGAAAGAUUUUUACGACACCAACUAUUUGCCAUUUCCCAGAAGAAACAGAGGACUGCAGUCGGAUGAGCAGUUUGGUAAGUUUGUAGAGGUCAUUCAGAAAUUAUAUGUCAACAUACCUCUACUUGAUGCCAUACAGGUACAUCAGAGAUAUUCUUAACAAGAAGAGACCACUGCCCACCACUGAGGUUAUCAAGCUGACAGAAGAAUGUAGUGCGGCCAUCCUCAACAAACCACCAAAGAAGAAGGAAGAUCCCGGAUGUCCCACUAUUGAUUGCUCGAUUGGAAACCAACACUUCAAUAAUGCACUUUGUGAUCUCGGAGCAAGUGUCAGUGUGAUGCCAGCAUCAGUCUACAAAAAGUUUGAGCAUGCAACCUUAGAACCAACAUCAAUGUGCUUGCAACUAGCAGAUCAAUCGGUUCGACACCCGCUGGGCAUCGCCGAGAACAUUCCAGUCAAGAUCAGAGAUUUCCUGGUGCCAGUAGACUUCGUAGUACUGGACAUGAGUCCUGACUCAAAAGUGUCCAUCAUCCUUGGAAGGCCAUUUCUGAGCACUGCUAAUGCCCACAUUGAUGUCGGGAAGGGAGAAAUCAAGUUUAACAUAAACGGACAAGAAGAACGCUUCACAUUCAAACCCAGACCAGAGAGAGACUCUACAGUGAAGGAAGUUCAUGAAGAACCACUGGAGACACCAUCUCCGGAGGAAGGUAACUCAGAAGAUUAAAAGAUUUGGAGGUCCAGCUUGGGGGACCUAAAAAUCCCAAACCCUCACCGGGAGGUAAAUCGGUAUUUAUCCUCAUUAUUAAUUUUCUCAUAUUUAAAUUCUUGCAUAAUUCAUUCUUAGUCGUAUACAUUCAUAGCAUAAUUAUAAUAAUCAAGAAGCCCCAUAUAAAUAAUAUUCGUGGUGUCUAACAACCCAUAUUAUUAAUUAUUGUGGAGGCACAAAAAUAUUUUCCAAUAUCAUUUUCAUUAAGUUUCAAUUCUCAUAGAUUUUCCUGCAUUAUAUUUAUUUAUAUUGAUCUUCUAGAAGCAUGACCCACACUCUUUGGGUCCCACAUGUCAUACACUUCAUCUCACAUACAUCCCAUCAUAUAAUUUCAUCCACCAAUAUGUUUCCACUCACUUGACAUCUUUCCACCGUCCAACCACCACCAACACAAUAUUAUUCUGCGUGAGAUCAAAGCAAGGAAGCAUGUGGAGGAGGCACACCCAGGAUGGACACCAGGGGUGGGCGCCCGCCCACCUACCUUGGGCGCCCGCCCUGUCGCCUGCUCAGCCUAUAAAAGGCCACCUCCAGCUCCCCUUCUCUUCACACAAACACUUCAGAAAACCACACAAAUCUCAGUUUCCUGAGAGGGAGCUUUUGUAGUGAAGAGAAGAGAGUAGAGAGAAAGAGAAGAGUGGAAGAGAAGGUUGAGAGUUCUUUUGAGAGAGUGAUUGUCACCUAGCAAGUAGUGAUCCCGUUGUCUAAGCGGAAGUAAAAGUUGUUUAGGGGUAGGCUCUACCAAAAUAGAAACUUGUCUUGAACGAUUGACCCCUGGACUACUGACACUCCGGACAGCUGACCACUAACAUUUUAUCUCACAUUUUCCUCCAGUUGUGUUUUUGCCAACUUUUGUUUGCAGGAUGUUUAAGAAGGUGAAGAAUGCAGGGAAGGCUCUCAAGAACAUUGGAACAAGGAGUUCAACCCGACACUCCUCACAGCCAUCAGAGAUGAGCAUCGACCCAACACCCACACAAGCUCCAUCAUCUUCAUCAGGUCAGCAAGUUAAGGUCCUUCUCAAGAUAGGAGACCUUGGACUGAAGACCCGAAGAGAGAAGGAAGUCUAUCAGCAGUUGAAGAACAAAGAUUUUAUUCACACCCCUACUAUCGAUCCAAUCCUACUACGAGAAACAGGUAUGGACACUGAAUUUGACUUAAUUUUUCAGAUGAUGGGUUGGACAAAUUUUUGGAAUAUAACUGAGCUGGGUUCUCGUCUUCUCACCCUCGAAUUUCUUUGCACUUUACAAUACUAUGAGGGGGGAAUUGUUUUUCGGAUAUUUAAACAGGAAAUUAUGUUAUCUUGGAGAGAGCUAAGCGACCAUCUUGGUUUCUCUUCAAGAUGCAUCCUGAACAUUGACUCCGAUUUACCCAAUUUUGAGAGACACCAGUUUUGGAGAGAAAUAUCUAGAGAUAAUUUUUACAGUCAAGCCCGAACCAGUGACAUGGAACACCCCACUCUUAGGAUGUUUCACAAAUGGCUUGGGUACAAUCUUUUCUAUCGCGAUGAUAUUAGGAAAGUAAGAGUAGGAGAUUUACAACUUUUAUAUGCUGCUAUUAGUAAAGUACCCACUUCACCUGUGACACUAUUAGUUUCACAUUCGCUUAGUAUACCUAGUCUUCAGGGACCAGUAGGAUGUACUUCACUUAUCACUCGUCUAGCGACUAAUCUUCACUUACUUGAAAACUCAUCGUUGGACUUCAUAGAAGAAUUAAGAAUUUAUCAUGGCUAUGACACAUUUAGACAAGCUCGGAUGUUAAAGAAAGAGGGAAAUAUAAUGUACACGCUGUAUGAUGAUAAAGGCAAGAUUCGGUUACCUAACCCGAACCUUGGCCUCUACUCUGUGCAAAACUUUUUGAUUGAGAUUGCAGCAACACCAGUGAACCAGAGAACUCCACAGCAAGUGGCUUCCGAAAGGAUAACCACUCACCGAGAACGCACUUGGUAUGGAGCUGACCCUGGACCAGAAGAAGCAGCACACCUGCAUUAUUGCGAUUACAACCCUCGAGUCCUUCGAGACCCAUGGGCUCGUCAUGCGCAACCACAAGAGCCAACAGAAGAGACAUGGCCGGAGAGCCAAGAUCACCAGUGGACAAACCCGCCUUUUCAUACGGGCAGGUACUCCACUGAUCCAUAUGGAGCUUCAGGAUCCAGACCUCCGCCCCAAUUUGAUGCAGGACGAUACUCCGACGCCUCCUACGCCUUCACGAAUGACUACUAUCAAGAGGCCGGUGCUUUCUUCACUCGUACCGACAACACCCUCCUCGACAUCCAAAACACGCAAGCAGAACAUGGAAGACUCCUAGAAGAGCAACAAAAAUGGAACCAGGACCAUGCCGUUGCAGUGCAAGAGCUGAGACAAGAUACAACAACAAUGAACGACAACAUCACAACCAUGAUGCGGUUCUGGAACAUCGGGUAAGACCGACGUCAACAUCCAGCUUGGGGGAGUUCCUCCCAAAUUUAUCAAGUAAGUUUUUAUUUGCUCUUCUUAUUUAUGCUAUUCUGUCUUAGUAUUUAAUUUAUCUUAAAAAGGAAAAACUUAGAAAACCAAAUAAAUAUUUUCUUACUUUUAUUCACUGCACUUUAAUAAACAUGAAAACAGAAUAAAAAGAGUGUGUAGAUAAGUGUGCUUUAUUUUCCUGCUAAGUUUAAUCUCUAGAAAAAAAUAAAAAAACCAAAAAUAUGCAUGAUGGAAAUGAUGAACAGUUGCUCUGUUUGCUUACUUACAAGUACCUAGCUUUUAUAUUAGAGUUCUUCCAGGAAUUACUAAAACUAAACUUACUAUCUUUGGGAAGCAUAAAACUAAAGUCUAGGUAAGAGAAACGCAUGAUAUAAAGUUGAGCUGCUGUUUUUCUUGUUCCUACUACACUAAGUUCUGGAGAUUUAUUUUGAAAAUAUACAAAUCACAUGAUGAGUUCCUUGCAUAACAAAACUACCUACCACAGCCAUACUUGCUAUAACAUCUUUUACUAUUUACAUUGAGUUUGAUCGAGCUGUGUAGACCCUUAGGAGCUUUUCAUGUGGUUAAAUUAAGAUAUUCACUUGCACACAUCUACCACAGCAUUCAUCAAUCAUUAAAAUUGCUAAAAAUAUUUUCACUCACUGUCCCGAAUAUUGUUAUUCUCUCUCUCUAAAAAGAUUCAAUGCAGAAGAGGCAUGGGUUAUGCAAAAAUAUACGAGGAAAUAAAAAGGGGCAAGUGCCCGGAACCUCGGAAAAGAAAGAAAAAGAGUGAGACGAGAGGUAAAAAUGGACAAGUGUCCGAAGUAGAAUUAGGGGUACAAAGAUGCCCACUUGAGCGGAAAAAAAUGGACAAGUGUCCGACAGUAGAAUUAGGGGUAUCUACUACCCACCUGAAAAAAAAAGAGAAAAGAAAAAGAUAGCCCAUGUUCUCCCAAAGCAAAGAUCAAAGAGGAGGAGAGAUAGCAGUAUGAGGAGCAAUGAGAACUAAGUUUUAUUAUCACUUAUGCAUUUUCACCAUCACUAUCAUUUACUCCAUCACACAUGCACAUCUUGAUUUAAUUAUAUGCUGAGUUGCUUUGGAUCCAUGGCUCGAUUAGACAACAUAUGUAUGAGCUAUUUUUUCACUCCUAUGAGCUCCACUUAAAUAUUCUAUUAGCUAUAGGCAAGUGAUAUCAUGGUAAGGAUCCACAAAUACCACAUAUAGAGAGACUUGAGAGAAUCAUUGCUGGGAACUCUGAGUUUUAUUUUAAAAACUUAUAAAAAACUCUAGAACAAAGGUGAAGUAUAGACAGGAGGAUAGUGCUUGACUUAACUAUUUUGUCUUUUGAUUACUUAAGAUUUAAGUGCAGGUACUAAACUUCAUAACACUUCACUUUAAUCUGGAAGAAUUUUUAUGUAAAAGCUUGUGUGCCUGUCAGGAAAGAAAAGAUCGAAGCAACUCCUGAUCCGUCUGAGUUUAGCUGUUGCUCAGGGACGAGCAAAGGGUAAUCUUGGGGGAGUUUGUGACGUCCUAAGUACNNNNNNNNNNNNNNNNNNNNNNNNNNNNNNNNNNNNNNNNNNNNNNNNNNNNNNNNNNNNNNNNNNNNNNNNNNNNNNNNNNNNNNNNNNNNNNNNNNNNGAAAAAGGAUCAAUAUGAAACAAACAUCUAGAAUUAGGGUUUUAUCUGACAGAAUUCCACGAGUUUUGGUGUUUAUCUAUUUCUGCUGGGGUUUAUCAGAGAAUAUGAAGAGAAGGCCACAUGUGUUGAUGGUCCUUAAUGUUCACAUUUAACCAUCAACUAAUCAUGGAAAAGGAUCUAAAUGGAACCAAAACCUAGACUUAGGGUUUACCUGACAGAAUCCACAAGUUUUGGUGUUUGUCUAUUUCUGCAGGGGGUUAUCAGGAAAUAUGGAAGAAAGGCCCACACGUCGGGUUUACAUAGAGAUAUUAACGUGCCGCACAAUUAUCUACCAUCUAGAAGACUCCAGAAGCCACGGGACCAAAGCGGAGGCCGAUAGGGCUCAGGCACUGGGCGCCCGCCCUAGUCCUAAGGGCGCCCGCCCACCUCUUUCCACCAAUCAGGGUGAAGUUUGGGGAUCAUGCUCCACCGACCUAAUACUUCAAGGAAAACCACACGAUCAAUGUCGGUUUGAUCCGACGGCCCAGAUUCACUUGAAGGGACUAUAAAACCAGACCCCCCUGGCCCCUGGAGAUCAUACCUCUUCUACAGAAUCAAAGCUAGGGUUUCAAUUCUUCAUCCAAGUAGAGAGGAUCCCUCUAGUUCUUCUAGUUCUACCUCUAGUUCAUCUAGAUCUAGUUCUAGUUCAUCUAGUUCUAGUUCUAGUUCCUCUAGUUCUAGUUCUAGUUAGUUCUAGUUGUAAUCUAGAAAAUAGGGAGAGAGAAGAGGAGAGCGGAGGAGGAGCCAGAUCUGUCGGAUCUUCCUCAACAUUGUACUUUUGCAGCAACUGGUUCGUUCUUCAUCGUUCUCCAGGUUCUUCAAUUUAUAAUUCCUAAGUUCUCUAAUUACUUUUAUUUACAUUCAAGUUAUUUAUUGGAUUCCCGCUUGCAUCAAGUGCUCUAGUCUUUAUAACGCUAGAGUAGUAAUUAAUAGAUUAGACGUGGUGUUUAGUCUUGCGAUUACCUGGAAUUGCACCCAAUCCUACGGAUUGUUGUGGUAGCCCUAGGGUAGUGACAGCCCUAACGGUCGACGUAUUCCACCACGUUCGGAUCGGUGUUUGUAGGACCGUAGUCAGACCUUCCUAGCCCCCUUCUCAUCUCUUUCUGUGGUUAGUGCUCUGAUGUCCCGAUAUAGAUAAUCUUGAAGUAAUUCUUGAUUCUUAGAUCAACUAGCGAACUCUCAGGAAACUUCCUCUCUUUCCACCAAAAAUAAUUAUAUAGUUAUCCUUGGGCGAUCUUGGAUCUUAAUUAGUACACUCACGUUCUCUGUGGAAAAUCGAUACUCUGGAAUACUCCCGGGUGAAAGCUACAUCGGUAUCCGUGCGCUUGUGGAUUUUUCUGUUUGCGUUUAAAAUACCCAACAAGCUUUCUGGUGCCGUUGCCGGAGAACGGUAGCUGUGCUAGUUUCUAACCAAGUCGUCUGUGUAUCCUUUUUCUUUUCCUUUUUUACCACACUCACCUUAUCAUUUUCACCAUACCACAUGGAUUUCACUCUAAGCAUUAAUGGGCAUGGAAUUUAUUUCAUAGCCACUUCAUUUACUCCAUGCUCAUAUGCAACAUCUUCACAAUCCAUUGGUCUCUCCAACAUCACCACAUUCGAGAUCUCCAACCCCCACUUCCUUUCUAUUUAUAAAAACUUUAAAAGGGCGGUUGUCGAUGCAUAUGUCUAUAAUAAAUUUUGCAGAUCUCGUUGAGUUGAUCUUGAUAUAGGUCAGCGUUGGAGGGGAAACCACUUCACUGACAUAAAUUGAUGGUUUUCCAAGGACAAGCUUAGUGUCCUAAAACAAGCACUGAUCAGAUCGUAACAUUAGUUUUUAAUUAUUUGCAACAUUACCUUGUGUAUUGAGCAUAUAAGGAUAAUUGUAAAAAAAUUCCUUCGGGUAUUCUUGUCACUAACCUUUCUAGGAUUGGAGCAAGAAGAUCGGAUGAAUGACAAGCACAAGGUAUGUACAACCAAUCAUCAUACAACAUUGAAUUAAAUUAAUCCAAACUUGAAUUUUGCAAAAUUCAAGCUUGGGGGAGUACUUUAUAUAAAAACAUCAUUUGCCAUGUUGCUAUGUUGGUUGUCCCUACCUUUGAGACAUGCUCAAUUUGUUAAAUAGUAAUCACACUACUUCAUCUCCACUUGAGUAGAUCUCUAUAAAUGCUCUCAUGCUACCUUUAUUUGCUUUAGUAUAUGUCUAGGUUUGGAGUAGUUUCAUUUAUCUCUUAAUUAAGCAUGGUGCUUAGUUUAGGGCUGAUGAUCUUACUUCCAAGGGAGUUUAAAUUAAGCAUGAUGCUUAGGUUAAAAUGCCCUCCUAAAUCAAAUUAGACAUAGUGUCUAGGUUGAUCUUUGAGCUGAUAGUAUGCUAUAGUAGAUAUUGGAUAUUUUGUNNNNNNNNNNNNNNNNNNNNNNNNNNNNNNNNNNNNNNNNNNNNNNNNNNNNNNNNNNNNNNNNNNNNNNNNNNNNNNNNNNNNNNNNNNNNNNNNNNNNAAGUUUAACAAUUUACACAAGGAAAGCAUAGCUCACAAGAGAUGAUAAAUGGAGGGUGCCACAAACACGAUGCACAACCACUAAGAAAGGAAAGCUUCCACAAGGUGAUACUGUACCAUCACUCUUCAAGUAAGGUAACAUCUUAAGGUACUUGACUAUCACUUUUAUAAAGCUUCUCCUUGGUUCUGGCGUUCACAUGAAUAAAAGAGACAAACAUGUAUGAUUUACAACUCUAGAUUAACCAACCUAAUCAUGUUUAGUCCUUCCACCUUUGUGAUCCCAUACUCCUAAUCAUAUAAGCUAAAAUGUUGCACACUCAAUCUUUGGAAGAUAUAAACAAAACAUAUAUAUAGAUAGAUUAUCUUUCCAUAAGGUCGAGCAAUCUAAUCUGACAAAUGUUAAAUACUACACUCAUGAUUUUAUUAUCCAUCAACUUUGUCUUGCUCACUAUGCUUGAGGUUAGAGAAGAACAAAUACACUUUUGGUUCUGUUGGUGUUUUCCACCAACAGAGCCCAUGCACUUGAUCUCUGCCUUGUCUCUAUGAGCAGGUACACUUCGAGCAAAAUAUGAAGGAGUUUUACAACUCCCAGACUCCACCAAGUGAAGAACCUAGAUCUAUGAGCACAAACACACUGGAGAUACUGGACACUCAGGCAAUCACUACCUUGAGAUGCUUGAGGACGUAACUACUGGAGUAACCCCGUUAUGGAAGUAAUUACUGACCUUCUGCCAGUCAAGAAAGGCAAUCCAGGAUGCACCGUCAUCCCGAUCUCCUCCGGCAUGCUUGCAGAUUGUACGCUAAGUUUCCCAAAGGGAAUAUUGAAGAACCUCUACGUCUGAGUUGGUACCUUAUACGUUCCAGCAGACUUCAUGGUGAUAGAGACUGAUACUGAUCAGAGGGCACCCAUCCUAGGGAGGCCAUUCCUGAACACCUCAGGAGCUGUCAUCUACGCUAGUGCUGCCAAGAUCAGUUUCUACAUCAUGGGAAGGACGGAGACGUUUUCCUUCAAGAACAAGACUACACAAAUCUUAGAGCAAUCCUAACAUGAACCAAGGAAGGACCAACAGGAGGAACAGGAACAAGCAAAUGUGUACCGAGUCAGCUAGGAUGGUCACUGCAGCUCAAGGAGGUCAAGAUCGUCAACUCAAGUCAUCUUUCUUGAUCAAGAAGGACGACCCUGGUGUCCCAAUCAUCAAGUGCACAAUCAACGGAUAUUAUUUUCAGAAGACACUCUACGACACCGGAUCUGACGUCAACAUAAUGGCCGUAGUCACUUAUCAUCUCCUGCAUGGAACCAUGCCCCUAAAACCGACAUACAUUCAGCUUCAGAUGGCAGAUCAGACAUUCCGAAAGAUUGAAGACAAGUACGAUCCAACCAUCAUCCUUGGGAGACUGUUCCUUAGCACUGUUAAAGCAAUCAUCUACAUUGGAACCGGAGAAGUCCACAUGCACUUCCCCUCUGAGAAGGUACGCUGCUAUUUUACUGACCCUAACUAUAUAGUUGAAGACUCUAAGCAGGUCAGGACAAGAAGAAGAUGACACAACCGUAACCAGAGGAGGCAAAUCAUCAAGGAUGGAUGGGCAGACUAUGAAGGAGAAGUCGUAAGGUCUGAAGACAUACAGCUUGAACAGAACUGUCCUGAGGAGACCGUAGCACCGAGUCAGGUGUGGAGAAAGAAGAUAGUUAUACACGAAGAGCAGGCUCUGCCGGAACCACCGACUAUGCCAUCAAGCAAAUCCCAGGACGACUGAGAAAACGGAGUGUCCCGUUCAGAGGACUUAAAAACACCGAACGCCUUGCCAAGAGGUAAACUUGGUAGUUAUCUUUUUCCUUUCAAUUAUUUUAAAAUAGUUUGCUUAGUUAAUCAGGUUCACAUCAUCUUGAAAAGAAAAUAAAAAUAGUAAGCCCCAUGUGAUUAUGCUCAUGGCAUAAAACCCAUAAGUACAUUCACUGUGGUGGCGUAAAAAUAAAAUAAAUAUAUUCCUGUCCUAUAAAAAUAAAAUUAUAAAAAUAGAUUUAUGAUCCCACUAAAAAGAGUAAUAUUUAUUGAGGAGACUUAACAUGAUAAAGGCUAGAUAUUUAUGCUAACACUUAACUAGUUCCACAAGCUUUGUUGUCUAUUUGAGCUCCACAGAAUUCAAGGAUCAAAGAAGACUAGCAGACGGAGGACAUCCUAGUCGCCGUCAGGGUGCUGCUGACAUUCAAAUAUACCUUCGCCACCUGCUAGCUACAUCAGAAGGAAUUACGUCAAAAUCCAGCUUGGGGGAGAGCACCUCCAUUUAUCCAGCUAAGUAUUCUACUCACGUUUAUAUUUUACUCAAAUAAUAAAAAGAUGCAUAAUCAUAAAAACCCAAAUAAAGAUUUUGUGCUUAUAUAUAUAUAUAUAUAUCUUUGCUUAGUUUGCUAAAUAAAUAAAUAAAUAAAAUUUGCUAUGAACCCUCAUGAUAAGCUCUCACAUGGAAAGAUGAAUAGUUGCUCUGCCAUGACUAGUUCUCAAAAUUGAAAUCUCUCUCAAGUUUAGGUAUCACUGUUAUUAAUUAAGAUUUGCUCUAAACCUGAACUUGUGGGAAGAGUACUUGAUCUGAAGUCUAAGUCGUUAACGGAUAUGAUAUGGGAAGGUUGAGCUGCUGUUUAUCUGUUCCUAGAGAUGCUAGAAUUCUGGAGAAUUUUAUCUUUGAAAAAUCUUUAAAAUGUUGCAUGAUGAGUUCCUGUAUGAUGAGAGUUUAAAUUCCUACCACAGCCAUAUAUACAUGCUUGCUAAACUAUGAACCACACAUUUACUUUACUACUUAUGAACAUUGAGUGUGCUCAAGCUGUGUAGACCCUUAGGAGCUUGUCAUGUGGUUAAGUCAAGAUUCACUUGCACGUUCACUCACACAUGCUGCUUCUACUCCGGAAGUACGCAUCCACAUAUAUCCACCCAUUUCCAUCUCCAGAACCACCCAAAAAUAUUCUACUCCUAAUCCGGGAGAGAAUAGCCAAAAACAUUUAUGUUUUUCCUCUGUGAAAUAAAUGCUCAAGUUAUCUUGUUACUACCACUUGCUAUAUUAUUUCAGGAGAUGAGUGCUCUAAAAAAAAGAGAAAGAAAAAAAAGAAAGAAUACGAGGAAAUAAAAAGGGGCAAGUGCCCGGAACCUCGAAAGAAAAGAAAAAGUGAGACGAGAGGUAAAAAUGGACAAGUGUCCGACAGUAGAAUUAGGGUUACAAGAUGCCCACCUGAGAGAAAAGAAAAAGAAAAUAUAGAGCAUCUCAUUCUCCUCAAAAAGUUUCAAAAGAGCAAGAAAGGUAUGUAUCCCCUCAAAAGAGCAUAAGUAGAAUUAGACUUUCACCAUUGUUAUAUCCAUCAUCACCAUACACCAUUCAUUCGCCACACAUGCACAUCUUGAUUUGACUUAUUGACUUGUUCUUCUGGAUCCAUGGUUUGACUAUGCAAUAUAUGUCUUGUAAGUAUGUAUUAGCUGUCUCCCACCUAUGAGCUCCAGAUAUCAAAACCUUAUUAGAGUAGGGUGAGAGAGAAGGCAAUGUCACUAUGCCUCAUACCAAAAAUACCACAUACUUUGAGAGAAGGCAUACACCUUUACUGCCUUGGUAAGGAUCCAGAAAUACCACAAAAGAGAGACUAGAGAGAGUCAUACAAGGAAUCUCUGAGUUUUAUUUGAAAAUCUGCAAAAACUCCAGAGCUAUAGUUAAUCGAAGAACAAGAGACAUGGUGCUUGACUAGACUGUUCUAUCUUUUAACUACUCAAGAUAGAAGUGACGGUUACAAGUCCCAUAGUGAAAGGUAAAUGAGUAAGUUUUAAGUCUUAACAGUUUACUCUAACCAGAGAUGAGAUCUUGUUUAAACGCAUGUGUAUCUUUAAGUUAUGAAACCACUGCAGAAACUCUUGAGUUCAUCUUUGCUCAGGGACGAGCAAAGGUUAAGCUUGGGGGAGCUUGUUGACGGUCCUUAAUGUUCACAUUUAACCAUCAACUAAUCAUGGAAAAGGAUCUAAAUGGAACCAACACCUAGACUUAGGGUUUUAUCUGAUAGAAUUCCACAAGUUUUGGUGUUUGUCUAUUUUCUGCAGGGGGUUAUCAGGAAAUAUGGAAGAAAGGCCCACACGUCGGGUUUACAUAGAGAUAUUAACGUGCCGCACAAUUAUCUACCAUCUAGAAGACUCCAGAAGCCACGGGACCGAAGCGGAGGCCGAGAGGGCUCAGGCACUGGGCGCCCGCCCUAGUCCUAAGGGCGCCCGCCCACCUCUUUCCACCAAUCAGGGUGAAGUUUGGGGAUCAUGCUCCACCGACGUAAUACUUCAAGGAAAACCACACGAUCAAUGUCGGUUUGAUCCGACGGCCCAGAUUCACUUGAAGGGACUGUAAAACCAGACCCCCCUGGCCCCUGGAGAUCAUACCUCUUCUACAGAAUCAAAGCUAGGGUUUCAAUUCUUCAUCCAAGUAGAGAGGAUCCCUCUAGUUCUUCUAGUUCUACCUCUAGUUCAUCUAGAUCUAGUUCUAGUUCAUCUAGUUCUAGUUCUAGUUCCUCUAGUUCUAGUUCUAGUUAGUUCUAGUUGUAAUCUAGAAAAUAGGGAGAGAGAAGAGGAGAGCGGAGGAGGAGCCGGAUCUGUCGGAUCUUCCUCAACAUUGUACUUUUGCAGCAACUGGUUCGUUCUUCAUCGUUCUCCAGGUUCUUCAAUUUAUAAUUCCUAAGCUCUCUAAUUACUUUUAUUUACAUUCAAGUUAUUUAUUGGAUUCCCGCUUGCAUCAAGUGCUCUAGUCUUUAUAACGCUAGAGUAGUAAUUAAUAGAUUAGACGUGGUGUUUAGUCUUGCGAUUACCUGGAAUUGCACCCAAUCCUAUGGAUUGUUGUGGUAGCCCUAGGGUAGUGACAGCCCUAACGGUCGACGUAUUCCACCACGUUCGGAUCGGUGUUUGUAGGACCGUAGUCAGACCUUCCUAGCCCCCUUCUCAUCUCUUUCUGUGGUUACUGCUCUGAUGUCCCGAUAUAGAUAAUCUUGAAGUAAUUCUUGAUUCUUAGAUCAACUAGAGAACUCUCACGAAACUUCCUCUCUUUUCACCAAAAAUAAUUAUAUAGUUAUCCUUGGGCGAUCUUGGAUCUUAAUUAGUACACUCACGUUCUCUGUGGAAAAUCGAUACUCUGGAAUACUCCCGGGUGAAAGCUACAUCGGUAUCCGUGCGCUUGCGGAUUUUUCUGUUUGCGUUUAAAAUACCCAAAAACAUGUCAUGUUUACAACGAGAUAAUUACGUGCCGCACAAUUUUCCUCAAUCUAGAAGGAUCUAGAAGCCACGGGAAUGAACGGGACGCGAUUCGGGCUCGGGGGCAGGGCGCCCGCCCACCCGCCUUGGGCGCCCGCCCAGGUUAGGAGGCCAAUCAGGACUCUGCUUCGGGACAACGCUCCACCGACCUAAAGGAUCAAUCUAAACCAUACAAUCUAUGUUGGUUUGAUCCAAUGGCUCACGUUCACUUGAGGGGACUAUAAAACCCGACCCCCUGGCCCCUGGAGGAAGAGAGGAGAAAUCAUUAUUCAGAGGUAGCCAUCAAAGUUAGGGUUUAGAUCUCUCUCCCACAGAGAAUUAGAAUUAGCUACUCCCUGAUCCUUCAAGUUUAGAUGUUUGAUUAGAUAGCAAUUAGAGAAGUAGAGCACUACGCUCUGGAUUCGGAUCUUCGGUAAUAAAGAUUGGUAUUAUUCAUAUCUUUCUCUAAUUCUAUUGUUCUAAUUGCAUUAUGUCUCUAAUUAUUAUGUUCUUAGUUUGCUCUAGUUCUAUAUUUGAUAUAGUUAUGAUUGAUAAUGAGUUUAUGUAUAAGUUUGCAAAGCGCUUAGCUCUUGAGGCGAGGGAGUUAGGUGAUAGAUCACAUGUGAGCGUGGUGCUUAGAUGUUAUUUAUCUGCAAAUGUAUCCUAUUGGCCGAGUCGUGUGGUAGUUCGCGAUAGUGACAGCUUCAUUGAUUCUUAUAUAGUCCACCCUCCGUUGAUAGGACAGGCAGAACCGGUAUUGUGGAGUAAGUCAUGCGAUGUUCUGAUUUACUUUAUCAAUGUUCCUUAUACAUGAAUGAAGAGUCUUUUAUGCUAUAUAUGAUCUUGUAGAUAACUAGAGUAGAUUAUGACUUAGUAGUUAGUAGAUAACUUAGAAUCCAUUCUCUAGCUAAUCCGACAUCACUUACAUAUAUGAGGAGUAGUCUAUUUUCUAAUCGCUGUGUUAUCUACCCAUGAACUUAUACUUUAUUAUCAUUAUCUUUAUGGUUUACCCCCUGCUAAAGUAAGUGACUGUGUGACGAGUUUCUCAUUAGUAAUCAUGUUCUUGCAAGUUUAUCUCUAGUCUAUGCCUUGAUAGAUUUUGCCCAUUGAUUUAAUUCCAUCUUCUUUAGAUCCCUUGAGCAAAAUUAUAAAUAACGAUACCUGGAAUACUUAUCCUGGUGAAAUGCUACAAUGAGGUGUUUUAUCUGUGCGCUUGCGGAUAGAAUAGAUUAUUUUCUUGAGAGCCUUUACAUUUAUAAAUACCUUUGUACACUCUGGCGCCAUGCUAGGGAUGACAACCUAGUAUCUAAGUGAUGUUAGCUAGUGUCAACAAUAAUUUUUACAGUCAAGCCCGAACCAGUGACAUGGAACACCCCACUCUUAGGAUGUUUCACAAAUGGCUUGGGUACAAUCUUUUCUAUCGUGACGAUAUUAGGAAAGUAAGAGUAGGAGAUUUACAACUUUUAUAUGCUGCUAUUAGUAAAGUACCUACUUCAUCUGUUACACUAUUAGUUUCUCAUUGGCUUAGUAUACCUAGUCUUCAGGGACCAGUAGGAUGUACUUCACUUAUCACUCACCUAGCCAAUCUUCACUUACUAGAAAACUCAUCGUUGGACUUCAUAGAAGAAUUAAGAAUUGAUCAUGGCUAUGACACAUUUAGACAAGCUCGGAUGUUAAAGAAAGAGGGAAAUAUAAUGUACAUGCUAUAUGAUGAUAAAGGCAAGAUUCGGUUACCUAACCCGAACCUUGGCCUCUACACUGUGCAAAACUUUUUGAUUGAGAUUGCAGCAACACCAGUGAACCAGAGAACUCCACAGCGAGUAGCAUCUGAAAGGAUAACCACUCACCGAGAACGCACUUGGUAUGGAGCUGACCCUGGACCAGAAGAAGCAGCGCACCUGCAUUAUUGCGAUUACAAUCCACGAGUCCUUCAAAACCCAUGGGCUCGAUAUGCGCAACCACAAGAGCCAACAGAGGAGACAUGGCCGGAGAGCCAAGAUCACCAGUGGACAAACCCGCCUUUUCAUACGGGCAGGUACUCCACUGAUCCAUAUGGAGCUUCAGGAUCCAGACCUCCGCCCCAAUUUGAUGCAGGACGAUACUCUGACACCUCCUACGCUUUCACGAAUGUCUACUAUCAAGAGGCUGGUGCUUUCUUCACUCGUACCGACAACACCCUCCUCGACAUCCAGAACACGCAAGCAGAACAUGGAAGACUCCUGGAAGAGCAACAAAAAUGGAACCAGGACCAUGCAGCUGCAGUAGAAGAGCUGAGACAAGAUACAACAACAAUGAAUGACAACAUCACAACCAUGAUGCGGUUCUGGAACAUCGGGGAAGACCGACGUCAACAUCCAGCUUGGGGGAGUUCCUCCUCAAAUUAUCAAGUAAGUUUUUAUUUGCUCUUCUUAUAUAUUCUAUUCUGUCUUAGUAUUUAAUUAAUCUUAAAAGGAAAAACUUAGAAAACCAAAUAAAUAUUUUCUUGCUUUUAUUCACUGCACUUUAAUAAACAUGAAAACAAAAUAAAAAGAGUGUGUAGAUAAGUGUGCUUUAUUUUCCUGCUAAGUUUAAUCUCUAGAAAAAAUAAAAAGACCAAAAAUAUGCAUGAUGGAAAUGAUGAACAGUUGCUCUGUUUGCUUACUUACAAGUACCUAGCUUUUAUAUUAGAGUUCUUCCAGGAAUUACUAAAACUAAACUUACUAUCUUUGGGAAGCAUAAAACUAAAGUCUAGGUAAGAGAAAGGCAUGAUAUAAAGUUGAGCUGCUGUUUAUCUUGUUCCUACUACACUAAGUUCUGGAGAUUUAUUUUGAAAACUUCCAAGUCACAUGAUGAGUUCCUAGCAUACAAAACUACCUACCACAGCCAUACUUAACAUCUUUUACUAUAUUCACAUUGAGUUUGAUCGAGUUGUGUAGACCCUUAGGAGCUUUUCAUGUGGUUAAAUUAAGAUAUUCACUUGCACACAUCUACCACAGCAUUCACCAUCAAUCAUUAAAAUUGCUAAAAAUAUUUUCACUCACUAUCCCUAAUAUUGUUAUUCUCUCUCUCUAAAAAGAUUCAAUGCAGAACAGGCAUGGGUUAUGCUAAAGUAUACGAGGAAAUAAAAAGGGGCAGGUGCCCGGAACCUUGAUAAAGAAGGAAAAAGAGUGAGACGAGAGGUAAAAAUGGACAAGUGUCCGAAGUAGAAUUCGGGGUACAAAGAUGCCCACUUGAGCGGAAAAAAUGGACAAGUGUCCGACAGUAGAAUUGGGGGUAUCUACUACCCACCUGAAAAAAAAGAGAAAGAGAAAAAGAGAUAGCCCAUGUUCUCCCAAAGCAAAGAUCAAAGAAGAGGCGAGAUAGCAAUAUGAGGAGCAAUGAGAAGUAAGUUAUCACUUAUGCAUUUUCACCAUCACUAUCAUUUACUCCAUCACACAUGCACAUCUUGAUUUAAUUAUAUGCUGAGUUCCUUUGGAUCCAUGGCUCGAUUAGACAACAUAUGUAUGAGCUGUUUAUCACUCCUAUGAGCUCCACUUAAAUAUUUCAUUAGCUAUAGGUAAGUGAUAUCAUGGUAAGGAUCCACAAAUACCACAUAUAGAUAGACUUGAGAGAAUCAUUGCUGGGAACUCUGAAUUUUAUUUUGAAAACUUAUGAAAAACUCUAGAACAAAGGUGAAGUAUGGACAAGAGGGAUAGUGCUUGACUUAACUAUUUUGUCUUUUGAUUACUUAAGACUUAGGUACAGGUACUAAACUUCAUAACACUUCACUUUAAUCUGGAAGAAUUUUUAUGUAAAAGCAUGUGUGCCUGUCAGGAAAGAAAACAUCGAAGCAACUCCUGAUCCGUCUGAGUUUAGCUGUUUGCUCAGGGACCAGCAAAGGGUAAGCUUGGGGGAGUUUGUUGACGGUCCUUAAGUACUAAAAUUAAUAAUCAAAUAAACAUGAAAAAGGAUCAAUAUGAAACAAACAUCUAGAAUUAGGGUUUUAUCUGACACAAUUCCACGAGUUUUGGUGUUUAUCUAUUUCUGCAGGGGUUUAUCAGAAAAUAUGGAGAGAAGGCCCACAUGUCAUGUUUACAACGAGAUAAUUACGUGCCGCGCAAUUUUCUGCCAUCUAGAAGGAUCCAGAAGCCACGGGAACGAACGGGAGGCGAUUCGGGCUCGGGGCUGGGCGGGCGCCCGCCCUGGCCAGGAAGCCAAACAGGACUCUGCUUCGGGGCAAGACUCCACCGACCUAAAGGAUCAAUCUAAACCAUACAAUCUAUGUCGGUUUGAUCCAAUGGCUCACGUUCACUUGAGGGGACUAUAAAACCAGACCCCCUGGCCCCUGGAGGAGGAGAGGAGAAAUCAUUAUUCAGAGGUAGCCAUCAAAGUUAGGGUUUAGAUCUCUCUCCCACAGAGAAUUAGAAUUAGCUACUCCCUAAUCCUUCAAGUUUAGAGGUUGAUUAGAUAGCAAUUAGAGAAGUAGAGCACUACGCUCUGGAUUCGGAUCUUCGGUAAUAAAGAUUGGUAUUAUUCAUAUCUUUCUCUAAUUCUAUUGUUCUAAUUGCAUUAUGUCUCUAAUUAUUAUUUCUUAGUUUGCUCCAGUUCUAUAUUUGAUAUAGUUCUAAUUGAUAAUGAGUUUAUGUAUAAGUUUGCAAAGCGCUUAGCUCUUGACGCGAGGGAGUUAGGUGAUAGAUCACAUGUGAGCGUGGUGCUUAGAUGUUAUUUAUCUGCAAAUGUAUCCUAUUGGCCGGGUCGUGUGGUAGUUCGCGAUAGUGACAGCUUCAUUGAUUCUUAUAUAGUCCACCCUCCGUUGAUAGGACAGGCAGAACCGGUAUUGUGGAGUAAGUCAUGUGAUGCUCUCAUUUACUUUAUCAAUGUUCCUUGUACAUGAAUGAAGAGUCUUUUAUGCUAUAUAUGAUCUUGUAGAUAACUAGAGUAGAUUAUGACUUAGUAGUUAGUAGAUAACUUAGAAUCCAUUCUCUAGCUAAUCCGACAUCACCUACAUAUAUGAGGAGUAGUCUAUUUUCUAAUCGCUGUGCUAUCUACCCAUGAACUUAUACUUUAUUAUCAUUAUCUUUAUGGUUUACCCCCUGCUAAAGUAAGUGACUAUGUGACGAGUUUCUCAUUAGUAAUCAAGUUCUUGCAAGUUUAUCUCUAGUCUAUGCCUUGAUAGAUUUUGUCCCUUGAUUUAAUUCCAUCUUCUUGAGAUCCCUUGAGCAAAAUUAUAAAUAACGAUACCUGGAAUACUUAUCCUGGUGAAAUGCUACAAUGAGGUGUUUUAUCUGCGCGCUUGCGGAUAGAAUAGAUUAUUUUCUAGAGAGCCUUUACAUUUAUAAAUACCUUUGUACACUCUGGCGCCAUGCUAGGGAUGACAACCUAGUAUCUAAGUGGUGUUAGCUAGUGUCAACAGUGGGAAUAAACCCUGAGUACAGGAAUGUACUCAGCUAGACCUACCCGUCUUGUAAAACAUAAAAGACACCAAGGAUCAUGCAAGGCUAAAUAUCAAGUGGAGCUGGUUGACUCGCCUUUUGCCAAAAGCUUAACUCACAACUAAGUUAUUUUGAGAGCAUCAUCUUUAAUUAUCAUCAACUUACCACUAGAUUGGCACCUAUACUACAACACAUCACUUGAUUAUUACAAACAAUAAUAACCAUAUCAAAUUCAUCAUAUGUUCUUCUUGCUAUCAUCAUUUUCAUGAACCAUGUUCAUUAGUGAAUGCUACGUUUGCCGCUGCUCUGUCAAGUUCUCACUAACCGGGAGAGACAGCGAUUCGAAUCGAAUUCCUAUCCAGCUGGAGGGUUAUUCCUAGCACUCACACAAGCAUCCCCUGCCGGAGAGGCAACGGGUCACCUUUGGUACAACUCAGGAAUCGCGGCUCCGAUCAGCGCCGCACUCCCAGGGCUACCACUCUGCCAGGGAGGUCAGGAAUUUUAACUCACCUGCCUUUGGACUUACGCUAAUGGUCCCCCGCACACCGCACUUCCUCCGGUAGUGCGCACUUUAUACUUGCCGGUCUUCCGGCCUGAGUCAUACUACUCGGCUUCGCGGUCGAAACGAGUUAUCCGGCCAACUAAGUGUUAAGCAUGCGUUCAACAUGACAAGAGAACGUACAACGAUCGGUCCUUAGCUGCCACAGAUGGAGUUACUACAAACUUGCAAAACUCCGCCCGGCUUAAGUCAUUUUAAUCAGGUUCCAUCCACGAUAGCACAUAUAGACCCUCGUGAUCCGACAUCACCCUAUAUCGCGCAGGUGACAGGAAAUCACCCGACUUCUACCGAUUAAGCAAGGCUAAGCUGCUACUCGAUCCUAACUCUACAACCAGGGUGUGGUGAGUUAUCUGGACAAGGAUAGAGUAGAAUGCAGCAACAGUUUCUUCACAACUCCUAUACGUAAUGCAUCAAUAGAUAGAACAUAUUAAGUGAACUUUCGAAAAUAAAGGGAGACUUAGAAUGCUCCGGGGCUUGCCUUUCACGAAAGAUGCCGGCUCGUGAUUCGGGCACUCAACUUCUUCUUCGGGCUCCUCGAGUCCGGCUUGCUGGACCUCCACCUCUUGGCUGCCCUCCUGGCCUUCGGGAUUCACUUGCAGCUCGUAGGAGGCUGUCGCGUCCGAUGCACCUAUUGCAUGCUCGAACAAUAAGAAGAUGCACAUGCUAAAGAUGAAGGCUUGAUAACACAAGUAACUCACUGGACACUCAUUCACGGAGCAAAGUCAUACAAGCUCACAUAAGUAAAUAAGUCAACUCAGCUCAAAACCUAUCAUGAUACUAAAACAGCAAGCAACACAAAACAAGCAUACCCAGUAAAUAAAUCAUAACUAAUGAUAGACAGGUCCAACAAUCAUGAGUGAAGACAUUCUGUAAAGCUUAUAAAAUUGUCCACUACUCAUCUUUAAUCAUCACAGCAAGAUUCAUACAUUAAACCAGUCAUUUAAACAAAGUUCCAGGUUCUGUCCCAGAAAAACAGAGAGCACCUAUUUCUGGAACCCAACUUGGAACAGCUAUAACUUUUAAACUACUUGGCCAAAUGACCUCAAAUUUAAACUACAGCUAGUUCAACAAGUUUAGAACAACUUUGAUUUGGACAAGUUUCACAGAAAGUCAAGUUAUCAUUAAGCAAAGUUAAAUCCUUUCCUUGCUGUCUAGGACAGCCUUUAACCCUUUAAGUAAUUAUUUAAUGACAUAACCAAAACAUAAACCAUGCCAACCACUUGGCUAAUGAGCACAAACAUAUUACAAGGUUACCAGAACACCAGAUGAAAACCCCCAAACAUUUACUUAACAAGGCAUUUAUUAAUUAAUUCUAAAAAAGAGCAUAAUUAUAAUAUACCAGUCUAAAUGCUCAAAAAAAUCUACAAAAAUUACAGAAGCACAAGUAUGACAUCAGGGCAUCACCAUAAAAAUUUCAGAGCAAUUGCACAUACUAAAUUAAAGAUAUGUAUUUAACAUGUGCCAAGGUAAUUAUUUCAUAAAUUCAGAAACAUGACUCAUAUGGUGCCAAACAACAGAUUUCAGAUUAUUUAUGUCUUAGGAAUACCAUAAACCUGUUUACUACCAAAGUAGAGCACCAGCAUAAGCACCAAUUAAUUUAUAUAAUUUAAUCAAGGAAACAAGCCACAUUUCAAUCAUAAAUUACAUAACAAAGCUGCAGUGCCCCAAAACUACUGAAAGAUUUACCAAAGCACUCUCAUACCAUACAGAGACUACCACAAAAUUUACAGAGUAAACUAAGCAGUAUAACAAGAGAUAUACAUUUAUCCAUGAAUAACAAGAUUAAAUCCUUAAUAAAUAAUUUCCCAAAAAACAUGGUUCAUUUUAUAUUUUUAUUAAAAACUAGCCAUCUCAAGGAAUACAACAAAAUUUGUUUCAACAUUUUUGGAUCACCAGAACUAGAGAUAUGAUUUUUGUAAAAACAGCUCAAACCCUAGUUUGAACAAAGGAGAAAGAGAGACUGACAGAGGGGACCCGCGAGUCAACGGACCCCACCUGCCAGCGACCCGGAAGCAGAGGCGCGGCUUGACCGCCGGAGAUCUCGUCGACGGCGAGGUCUCGGCGCUGGCCAAGGGCACCAUCGUGCUCCCCACUGCAUUCCGCAUCUAGCGGUACCCAAAACCCUAAUUCUACCGGACUCUAGGUACCUUGCCAUCGCGAAUGGCGACACGGCAGUGGUGCGCGGCCGACCGCCGGCGUCUCUGGCCGGAGACAGAGCAGAAGAGAAUGCGGACGAGCAACAGCAAGACCUAGCGAAGCUUUUGGGACAAGAAUGAGGAAGAAUGGUGGACUACAGAGCCCUGGCCACGACGCCGGUGGCCAUGGCAGAGCUCCGACGAGGUAAGCUCGCGAUGGAGAAGGCAAUGCGGGCUCACCGAAGCUCGGCAGUCGCAGCCAACUUGAAGACGGUGAAGUGGAGAGGCUGGCAGAGCGCUGGGCGGAGUUGCUUAGCCAGAGACACGGAGACGCGCGCGCGCGAGCUCGCCGAAGCAACGGCGGCGACGCGGAGACGACGACGCACGCGAGAGGGAGGGAACCGGAGUGGAAUGGCGCUGUCCACGCAACCGGGGGCGCCGUGGCGAGCUGAAGGACGUGCGGAGGACUGACGAGCGGGGCCAACGGCGACGUACGGACGCCACGAGUCAAGACACGCGGCAACACCGGCGAGCUCCCCCUGUCUGACGGCGGCUCCAUUCAGUUCCCAAACCGACUGAAACUCGAUUUUGCCCGACGCUUAACUCCCUAACCACUCGAUGAUUUUGCUGGCUAAUUGCUCCAUGCUGGAGAGCUACAUGAGUACUCCAACAUUGCUUACAAGAUCAAAGCUUGAUUCGGCCUAGAAUUCAAACUGGAGGAUGAACAAUACCCCCUCGAGCAAACUGCAGUGAUUCCAGACUUAGAAAAUUUUCUAAGUGUUGGAAACAGCCCCAAAUCUGCCUUGUGGACCCCUUUUGAGCUAUUUGUGUUCAUUUUCAUGAGAUGGCCAUAAAACAACUUUUGUUCCUUAUAAAAUUUACUACAACUUUUCUGUAGAAAGUUUUGACAUGCAAACAUUUUAUGAAACACUUUUUAAAAGCCUAAGCAAAAGAGGUCUCUAGGGCCUAUUUUCAUAAGUAUGACUUAAAGGCAUAUUUUGGAGAAGUGACCAACAUGAACAUUGUUCCCAAAGUCAAGUUAAGCAUAGAUAAACUAAUUACCAAGGCAUUAAGCACAAACACAAUCAUGGUUCACUCAAACAUAAGCAUAGGAAGACUAUUUAAGCAAUUUAAACCACAUUUUUGCAUAGAAUGACAUGGCUCAAGAUAGAUGAUGAUCAUGGAUGCUUUGAAUAGAUGAUGAUGCUUAUGCUAUGCACAUGAUUAAUGCAACCAUAACACUGGGGUGUUACAGCCCUCCCCCUUACAAAAAUCUCGUCCCGAGAUUUGAAAGCUUACUGAUUUUCGAAGAAUGUUUUGUAAACUUCUCUUAAAUAAUCCUCCGUCUCCCAAGUAGCAUCUUCCUCCCCGUGGUUGCUCCACAACACUUUGUAGAGCUUAACCACACGAUUACACGUCUCCCGUUCCUUGCGAUCAAGAAUCACUACGGGUUUUUCUUCAUAUACCAAGUCUGACUUCAACUUGAUAUCUCGAAUUUCCACUCGCUCCUCUGGUACACGAAGGCACUUCUUUAAUUGUGAUACGCGGAAUAUAGGGAAAAUAGCUCGAAGCACAACUGGGAGUUGAACUUUGUAUGCCACAUUCCCUUUCUUUUCGAGAAUCCGAUAAGGUCCCACAUAGCGAGGUGCAAGCUUUCGCUUGACUCCGAACCUUUGUACACCCCUCAUCGGAGACACCUUCAUGUACACAUGGUCACCAACUGAAAACUCAAUCGGCUUCCUUCUCUUGUCGGCAUAACUUUUCUGACGAGCUUGAGCAGCUUCCAGAUGUUGCUGGAUAGUACGGACUUUCUGCUCUGCUUCGUUCACGAAAUUGAUGCCAUAAAAUCUUCGCUCUCCAGCUUCUACCCAAUUCAACGGAGUUCGACACUUCCGACCGUACAGGGCUUCAAAUGGAGCCAUCUUGAUACUCUCCUGAUAACUAUUGUUGUAGGAGAACUCAGCUAAUGGCAACCACUUAACCCAAGAACCCUUUGAAGAGAGAGCACAUGCCCUCAACAUAUCUUCAAGGAUUUGGUUAACUCGUUCAGUCUGACCGGCCGUUUGGGGAUGAUAAGCAGAGCUACAGACUAAAUGAGUACCAAUUUGCUCAUGCAGACAUUCCCAAAAACGAGCAGUGAACUGUGGUCCACGAUCUGAUAUGAUUGUUCGAGGCACACCAUACUGACGAACAAUGUGCUCAAAAUACAACUCCGCAUAUUGAUGUGGACGGUAGUCAGUUCGGACUGGAAUAAAUCGAGCAACCUUGGUCAAACGAUCUACAAUUACCCAGAUGGAGUCGUACCCCUUAACAGAAAUUGGGAGUCCACUGAUGAAAUCCAUGCUGACUUCUUCCCAUUUCCAACCAGGAAUUGACAAGGGUUGAAGCAAACCAGCUUUCAUGUCAACAGCCUUCACACGACAACAAUUGUCACAACGAGCGACAAAAGCAGCUAUCUCCUUUUUCAUCUUUGUCCACCAAAACAACGGUUUUAAAUCCUGAUACAUCUUGCUACUACCAGGAUGGAUAGACAAUUUGGAUGAAUGAGCUUCAGAUAAGAUCUGAUUUCGCAGCUCACGGUCUUUUGGGACCACAAGUCGAUCCUUGAACCAAAGGAUUCCGUUCUCAUCAACCCGGAAAUGCUUGGUUUCUUCUUCCUUCAUUUUCCUCUUUAUAUGGUGGAUACCUGCAUCUGUCUGCUACAAUUCGAUGACUCGAUUGCGAAUGGUACUUUCUAGAAAAAUCUGGUUUUGCACAAGUGGAUGCAUAAGAUGUGACAACAACAGAUCUUCCACUUGGAUUGAGUGACAGUGCGCUUUCCGACUCAAGGCAUCCGCCACCACGUUUGCCUUGCCCGGAUGAUAGUGCACUUGGAGAUUAUAAUCUUUAAUCAACUCAAGCCACCUUCGCUGACGCAUGUUCAGUUCAGGUUGAGUGAAGAUAUACUUGAGGCUCUUAUGAUCGGUGUAGAUAUUACACAGAUUACCUAGUAGAUAAUGCCUGCAGAUUUUCAAAGCAUGAACAACUGCUGCCAAUUCUAAGUCAUGAGUAGGGUAAUUGACCUCAUGCUUUCGAAGUUGGCGCGAGGCAUACGCGAUAGCGCGACCUUCCUGCAUCAACACAUAGCCUAAACCAAUGCCUGACGCGUCACAAAAGACAUUGAAGGGCUUCUCGAUAUCAGGUUGAGCUAGGACAGGAGUUGAUGUCAGCAAUGUCCUCAACUUGUGGAAUGCCUCUUCACACUCAGGUGUCCACGCCAACUUUUCAUCUUUCUGAAGCAGACGAGUCAUAGGCUUGGAUAUUUUGGAGAAUUCUAGAAUAAAUCGAUGGUAAUAUCCAGCAAGACCGAGAAAACUCCGAACCUCGUGUACCGAAGUUGGAACUUUCCAAUCAAGCACUUCUUGCACCUUAGCCGGAUCCACCGAUAUGCCUUCUUCAAAUAAGAUAUGGCCCAAGAAAGGUACUUUCUUUAGCCAAAACUCGCAUUUGCUAAACUUGGCAUAAAGCUGAUGUUCGCGCAAACGCGACAACACUACACGCAGAUGCUCUGCAUGCUCCUCUUCAUUGCAGGAAUAUACCAAGAUAUCAUCAAUGAAGACCACCACAAACUUGUCCAAUUCGGUCAUGAACACCAAAUUCAUAAGACACAUGAAAUGAGCAGGUGCAUUUGUAAGACCGAAGGACAUGACAAGGUACUCAUACAGUCCAUACCUCGUCGAGAAAGCUGUCUUAGGUACAUCCUCAGGACGGAUCUUGAUCUGAUGGUACCCAGAUCGCAAAUCAAUCUUGAAGAAUACCUUAGCUUUAGACAACUGAUCAAACAAGAUAUCAAUGCGAGGAAGAGGGCAUUUGUUCUUGAUAGUCACCGCAUUUAGGGGACGAUAGUCCACACACAUGCGCAAAGAUUGAUCCUUCUUCUUCACAAAGAUAGCCGGACAACCCCAAAGAGAAGAACUAGGACGAAUAAGACCCUUCUUCAACAACUCAUUCAGUUGGGUCUUAAGCUCAGCUAAUUCAUUGGGUGGCAUCCUAUAAGGUCUUCUAGAGAUAGGAGCGGUACCUGGAAUCAAUUCAAUCUUGAACUCCACAUCCCGAUCCGGAGGAAGGCCGGGUAAAUCAUCAGGAAACACGUCCCGAAACUCGCACACCACCGGAAUGUCCUGAAUAGCCUUAGAUGUAACUGCAUUUACAGUGCUACGGAUUUGAAUAUCAUGAGGGAGUUGCACUAGAAAUGCCUCCUUGGUAUUUGGGUCUUUCAACAUCACUACACGAGUGGUGGUGUCGAUAAGAACUCCAUUGCCACUCAUCCACUUCAUCCCCAAAAUUACAUCUAUGCCCACACCGGGUAGAACAAACAGAUCAGCAAGAAACUGACGGCCUCCUAUUUCCAGAGUUGCCCCCAAAACCACUUGAUUGGUGGAAAUAUCAUUUCCCGCAGCACUAAUACAGUAACUGCCCAUAUCAAGUGUAAUGGCCUUGAUGCUAUGCUUAGACACAAAUUCAGAACUCACAAAGGAAUGCGAUGCUCCACAAUCAAAAAGCACAAGUGCAUCAUGUUGAUUGACCAAAAACUUACCAGCCGUGACUACCUCACCAGCAGGGAUUGCUUCCACAGUUGUGUAAUGAACACGCCCCUGACGGACGUUCCCCUGGUUGCCCUUCUUUGGCGGGUAAGGACAGUUGCUCUACCAAUGCCUGGUCUGAUUGCAGUUCCAGCACGGACGGUUGGCAGGUGGAGUCUUGGCAUAGUUGGGACCCGUGUUGCCCCUAGGAAGAGCAAUAGAGUACCCAUUGCGAAAACCCGUCUUGGCCUGAUUCUUCUUCAUCGGAGGGCGGUAUCACUGGUUGGGGGUUGGAGCACGGAAUGGGGGCUUAGUUGCCACUGGAGCCUCGGACUGAGAUGACCCAGCACCGGCCUCAAAAGCCCUCUUGCCAGUCUUGGUCGCAGUGUACACAGUGUUAUAGUUCUCUUGAGUGAGAGCAUCACUGACAAACUCAUUGAAAGUUGCACACUUAGUGCGGCCCAUAGUCUUCAGCAAUUUGGGGCCCAAACCCCGCUUGAAACUAGCAAUCUUUUUCGUCUCCGUGUUCACAAACUCAGGAGCAUACCUAGACAAAUGAUUGAAAGCAUGUAAAUACUCCUUCAGAGUUUUGUUGCCCUGAGUCAACUGCAUAAACUCGGUAUGCUUCAUCUCCAUAACACCAGGAGGAAUGAAAUGCCCCUUGAAAGCUUCACGGAAAAGAUUCCAGUCAAGCACUGUGUUGGCUGGAAGAGUGUUGGGUAUUCUUAGCAUCAUUACCAAAAGUAGACUAAGUCUCUAAAUCUAGUAACGGUGCCAAAAAUGCCAAACCUAUCCCUCACACCACUUAAGCCAAGUUGUCAUCCCCAGCAUGACAUGAGAGACGCGGUAUUAAAAUAUGCAAUUGCUCUUCUAAAUAAAUAAUGAAUUGGAUCUGCAAGCGCACAGAUUAAUACCGAUGUAGCAUUUUAACCGGGAAGUAUUCCACGUAUCGUUAUUUAUAUUUUUACCACUGGGAAGGGAUUAGAAAUCAUCACUAAUGAUUACAGAAUAGAAUAUGAGAUUGAGCAUCUAUCAUUGCAUGUAUAAUUGAGAACAUUAUAUCUAACUCUUCAUACAGGGAUAAGUGUCACAUAAAAGAUAUAUGAAAUAAUAAUAGUGACAAGGAUAACUAAUCUGAUCUAGCCACAUAAUAAAUAUGAUAAGCACCUCAAUUAGAUACUCUAGAAAGUCAUUAGCAUGGUAUUAGAACGAACUACAAGAAUAUUCCCUAAGCUAUUCUUAACUAUAUAGUCUAGCAUUAUCAUAGUUAGUGCAAGCAUACUUAGCAAUCAUUGUGAGACAAAACUACACCCAUGUAUAGUGAUAUUAGCAACGAAUAUGAGAAACAUAGCAAUCACUCCCCUGUAAUAAUGUUGCUCUGCCAGCCCAAUACACGAGAGGGGGACUAUAUAAGAAUCAAUGAAGCUGUCACUAUCACGAACCACCCCACGAUCUGGCAUAUUGGGUACAAUCGCAGAUAAAUACGGUAUAAGCACCACGCCUACACAAUAUCUAUCAUUUACCCAUGGAUCCGAUGGAUAAACGCUAUACGAUCCUAAGCAUGUAUAUAGAUCAAAUCUAACUAAGCUAAGUACAUAACUAUGAUAAACUAAGAACAAUAUAAUCUUGAAUAUAAGCAAGUAGAGCAAAGUCAUAAGCAAUAUAUUGAAGUAGAACAAAGUCAUAUUCAUAAUAUUGAAGAACAAAGAUAAUUAGAAAGCAAUUAGAAGCACAAUUAGAGAAUUACCAAGAAUCCUCCUGACAGAUCCGGAAACCAAUCGAAGAUUGACUCCUUCUAGUUCUAAUCCUAUGUAGCUAUGCUAAUCUAGAUAUCUAAUUGAUGUGGUGGCUCUAAUCUUGAUCAGAGGCUUCUUCUCCCUUGAUGGAACAAUGAAUUAGGGUUGAGAGGCUCUCUCCUCCAGGGGCCAGGGGGUCUGGUUUUAUAGUCCCUUCAAGUGAAUAUGGGCCCUUGGAUUAAACCGACAUAGAUUGUAUGGUUUAGAUUCAUCCUUUAGGUCGGUGGAGAUCUCCCACGAAGCAGAGUCCUGAUUGGAUUCCUGGAGAGGGCGGGCGCCCAAGGGAACAGGGCGGGCGCCCUGACUCUGGCCCCGUUUCGCCUCCGCUUCGGUCUCGUGGCUUCUGGAGUCUUCUAGAUGUAAGAUAAUUGCGCGGCACGUUAAUAUCUCUAUGUAAUCCCGACGUGUGGACCUUUCUUCCUUAUUUCCUGAUACCCCCCUGCAGAAAUAGACAAACACCAAAACUCGUGGAAUUCUAUCAGAUAAAACCCUAAUUCUAGAUGUUGAUUUCAUUUGGAUCCUUUUCUUUAUUUAUUUGAUAAUUAAAUUUGAUACUUAAGGACCGUCAACAAAGAGCUUCCCGAUACUGAUUCCACCAGAUGCCAGCCGGUCCUUGGAGUUGGUGGGCGGCAUACUCUGCCUUCAGACCUUCAGUCAACCGAAGUAAGCGGAACUUUUGUUCCACCGUAUUCAGCCAUUCUUCAGCUUGAAGGGGUUCUUCAGCUUCUCUGAAAGGUGGGGGCUUCGUAUCCAUGAAGUCCUUGAAGCUACUGUACUGGUUAGGAGCUGGCCCUUCUUGUGCAUUACGACCACCCUGAUUUGCCAUCCGAUUGAUGGUCUCAGUGAGCAUCCUUUGAUUCUCCACCAUCAUUUGCAUUAGCUCAGCUGGAUUUGGUGGUGGAGGAGGAGGGGGUGGAUUCAUGUUUGCACGCUGUUCCGCACCUCGGGUGCCACGAGACAUCUGUAAAGACACAAUCAGUGAGCAUUGAUGAUGACAAGAUUUGCCGCAGAAGAACUUAUAUUCAUGCCUGAAAGUAUUCGAGAGAAUAGCUUUACAGAAAGACACAACAAUUCAAUUCCACAAAACAACAUCACCAAUCCAACACAUGACAUAGAUAUCCGCAAUACGCACCACAACGGAAAACAUCGGCAUAACAUAACGAUCAUAUUAAGACUGCACAUUGGGUCCAUAAAGUUGUUACACCAUCACAGUACAUGCCAUGAGUCAAGGUCAAAGUUUCAGAUUACAACAUGGUUACAAAAGCAACACGGCUGACUGACACACUACAAAAGAUCCUCACAUAACACUACCCACUACUCCUACACUCCAGGCUCGUCGUCCGAGUCAGCGUCGAAGAUCGCCUCUCCAUCCUCGUCGCUAACCGGCUCAAGCUCCUCAUCCUCCACGUCCUCGUGCAAAGGUGGUGCAGCCGCUGCUGGUCCAUCAACCUCCAUACCAUCAUCAUCGGCCACAAUCACCUGGGUCCCACCUCUGGAUACAUGGGUAUAGGGCGAGGAAUGGGGUGUCGCAAGUUGUUGAGACGGUGAAUCUCCACAAGACCAGCCUCAAUCUGAUCCUGCAGAUAGUUCUCCUGCUCAAGCGACUGAACUCGGUGCAUCUCCCAUGCCUGGCGCCUGUUCUCCGACACGCGGAGUGCAGUAUCCCUCUCACGGGUGAGCUGCACCAAACGCUCCUGUAUGGUCUCCCUCUCUCUAGCUAACUGGCUCAUCUGAUCCUGCUUAUGAUCCCUCUCUCUAAUGGCCUUCACCCACUGCUGCCUACGGUACUCCGCAAUGUCCUCCCAGUCAUUGCGGUCCUUCUGAGCUUGCUCCAGGAGUCUAGCUUGCUUGCGAAACUUGCGAGCACGCUUUUCAGCCUUCCGCUGCGCCUCCUGGGCCCUGCGAACAGCCACCAUCACUUGUGCAUAGGUGCCCUCUCGCUGACUAAUCAGCUUUAGCACAGCCAUCAUAGCACUCAUAGCAGGACUAGAACUCUCAGCCCUCUCUCCCCUGCCUCGAACCAAAGCACAACCGUUAGCCUGUUUCCACUCCGCUGCUGCUGGGUCAGCACUAGGAAUGUAGGCCGCUGGUCCUCCCGUCAGCUCGUCACCACACCUCUGAUAGAUAUCGAGGAGGAUAGUCUGGGCUGCAACCUGGGCUGCCUCCCAAGGAGUCUGCCCAUCUGAGCUACAAGUCCAGCCUGUCCAUGCAGGCUUGUCCCCAUGUGGAGGGACAACUCCCUGCACAGCAAACCACUGAAUCCCUCCGGUGCUCUCCAUCUCCCACCAAGAAUACUGAGGUGGCUCAGUAUACCCAACAGUCCGUAACACUCUCCAGAGCACGGUAGGAGUGCCAAACUCGUGCAAGGAAGUGUCACUGGGACGGGGUGAAGCGGGUGCGUCCAUCUGUGGAAAGGAAUAGGAUAACCAUGGGUAAAAGAGGAUUAGUUUAAGCAACAUUUAUUUAAUUAAAAGGGGUGACAUUGUAAGGGAAGGAGUAGACAGAAUGUAUGCAUGAAUGCGACAUGAUGCAUGCACGAACCGUACGUCCUCACAAACUUAGAAAAUUAAUAUUCUAACGGAUAUACGGUGGCAUACAUUCGUCUUUCGAUACGAUAACUAUCGGUCUACACGUGCGCUGUUAGAGUACCUGCAGAAAACUUUAUUUCAGCCCAACAAUUCCCAAUAUAUCACUCAAGAAAGCAGUAAACUAAGUGCACAUUGCUUGGACAUGCCCAACAUGCACAAACAACGACACCACAACUACCCGAGAAAUUAAAUGCUCCCCAAUUAAGCUUCUUCCAUGGUUCCAUGGUUUUGACUUGUAACCACUCCAGAAAACCACGGCGAACACUCCCCUAGACCGCCGUUUGGACGAUCACGCUCUCACAGCUCACACUUACCAGAGCGUAGGUGCGACGUUGCAUAAUUUAAAUCUAGCGACAUAUGUGGCUACUUCACAUAUGAAGGCUACCUCCACCAUUAGACCACACGGUAGCAUAGUGCGGUCAUCACACAUCCAUACCUGAGUACUGCCGGAGAUGCAUAAAUAAAACCCCCCAAGUCAGUACUUAAAUAGCCACCUAUAGUCCUUAUGUGGGCAAGGAGGAUUCGACCACUGGCAUAACUUAAUUAUUUAUUUUACACCCUUUUAUUUAAAAACUCUUUUGUUUUAAAUACACAAACGCUGCAUUUAUAAUGCUGAACUUGCUCCGAUGCCAGCUGUCACAGAACCGACCAAAUUAUAAGAGUUCAAGUGCAGAAAUGAUUGACCAGCAAUCAAGUUUCCAAACUUGAGCCCAUAUAAUCCCGGUUGUCAAUUGAAAUCACGAAGGACUUCAAACCAACUCGCAACAAACCAAGAUCGUAAUAGUUCAACAUAAACACAACGAAUGUUACAUAGUCAUACAUUGCCGUCAAAGCGGCACCACAUCGGAGUAUUAAGUUAUUCCAACACUUGUUCGAAAUAGCGGAAGCAAAAUAGUUACACACACAUUCCAAAGUUCAGUUCAUAAGUUCGGGUUACUGCCAGAGUCUACACCACCCUUCCAAAAGCAACAGGUACGAAGUUGUUAGAGAACCGUGCCCAACGGUUAAUCCUCAUCCCCAGCGGGAUGGAGACAGGUCUUGUAGAAACCGUCAUAGAAGAUGUCAUCUGCAACAGGUGGGAAUAAACCCUGAGUACGGGAAUGUACUCAGCUAGACUUACCCGUCUAGUAAAACAUAAAAGACACCAAGGAUCAUGCAAGGCUAAAUAUCAAGUGGAGCUGGUUGACUCACCUUUUGCCAAAAGCUUAACUCACAACUAAGUUAUUUUGAGAGCAUCAUCUUUAAUUAUCAUCAACUUACCACUAGAUUGGCACCUAUACUACAACACAUCACUUGAUUAUUACAAACAAUAAUAACCAUAUCAAAUUCAUCAUAUGUUCUUCUUGCUAUCAUCAUUUUCAUGAACCAAGUUCAUUAGUGAAUGCUACGUUUGCCGCUGCUCUGUCAAGUUCUCACUAACCGGGAGAGACGGCGAUUCGAAUCGAAUUCCUAUCCAGCUGGAGGGUUAUUCCUAGCACUCACCCAAGCAUCCCCUGCCGGAGAGCCAACGGGUCACCUUUGGUACAACUCAGGAAUCGCGGCUCUGAUCAGCGCCGCACUCCCAGGGCUACCACUCUGCCAGGGAGGUCAGGAAUUUUAACUCACCUGCCUUUGGACUUACGCCAAUGUUCCCCCGCACACCGCACUUCCUCCGGUAGUGCGCACUUUAUACUUGCCGGUCUUCCGGCCUGAGUCAUACUACUCGGCUUCGCGGUCGGAACGAGUUAUCUGGCCAACUAAGUGUCAGGCAUGCGUUCAACAUGACAAGAGGACGUACAACGAUCGGUCCUUAGCUGCCACAGACGGAGUUACUACAAACUUGCAAAACUCCGCCCGGCUUAAGUCAUUUUAAUCAGGUUCCAUCCACGAUAGCACAUAUAGACCCUCGUGAUCCGACAUCACCCUAUAUCGCGCAGGUGACAGGAAAUCACCCGACUUCUACCGAUUAAGCAAGGCUAAGCUGCUACUCGAUCCUAACUCUACAACCAGGCUGUGGUGAGUUAUCUGGACAAGGAUAGAGUAGAAUGCAGCAACAGUUUCAUCACAACUCCUAUACGUAAUGCAUCAAUAGAUAGAACAUAUUAAGUGAACUUUCGAAAAUAAAGGGAGACUUAGAAUGCUCCGGGGCUUGCCUUUCACGAACGACGCCGGCUCGUGAUUCGGGCACUCAACUUCUUCUUCGGGCUCCUCGAGUCCGGCUUGCUGGACCUCCACCUCUUGGCUGCCCUCCUGGCCUUCGGGAAUCACUUGCAGCUCGUAGGAGGCUGUCGCGUCCGAUGCACCUAUUGCAUGCUCGAACAAUAAGAAGAUGCACAUGCUAAAGAUGAAGGCUUGAUAACACAAGUAACUCACUGGACACUCAUUCACGGAGCAAAGUCAUACAAGCUCACAUAAGUAAAUAAGUCAACUCAGCUCAAAACCUAUCAUGAUACUAAAACAGCAAGCAACACAAAACAAGUAUACCCAGUAAAUAAAUCAUAACUAAUGAUAGACAGGUCCAACAAUCAUGAGUGAAGACAUUCUGGAAAGCUUAUGAAAUUGUCUACUACUCAUCUUUAAUCAUCACAGCAAGAUUCAUAUAUUAAUCCAGUCAUUUAAACAAAGUUCCAGGUUCUGUCCUAGAAAAACAGAGAGCACCUAUUUCUGGAACCCAACUUGGAACAGCUAUAACUUUUAAACUACUUGGCCAAAUGACCUCAAAUUUAAACUACAGCUAGUUCAACAAGUUUAGAACAACUUUGAUUUGGACAAAUUUCACAGAAAGUCAAGUUAUCAUUAAGCAAAGUUAAAUCCUUUCCUUGCUGUCCAGGACAGCCUUUAACCCUUUAAGUAAUUAUUUAAUGACAUAACCAAAACAUAAACCAUGCCAACCACUUGGCUUAUGAGCACAAACAUAUUACAAGGUUACCAGAACACCAGAUGAAAACCCCCAAACAUUUACUUAACAAGGCAUUUAUUAAUUAAUUCUAGAAAAGAGCAUAAUUAUAAUAUACCAGUCAAAAUGCUCAGAAAAAUCUACAAAAAUUACAGAAGCACAAGUAUGACAUCCGGGCAUCACCAUAAAAAUUUCAGAGCAAUUGCACAUACUAAAUUAAAGAUAUGUAUUUAAUAUGUGCCAAGGAAUUUAUUUCAUAAAUUCAGAAACAUGACUCAUAUGGUGCCAAACAACAGAUUUCAGAUUAUUUAUGUCUUAGGAAUACCAUAAACCUGUUUACUACCAAAGUAGAGCACCAGCAUAAGCACCAAUUAAUUUAUAUAAUUUAAUCAAGGGAACAAGCCACAUUUCAAUCAUAAAUUACAUAACAAAGCUGCACUGCUCCAAAAAUACUGAAAUAUUUGCCAAAGCACUCUCAUACCAUACAGAGACUACCAUAAAAUUUUCAGAGUAAACUAAGCAGUAUAACAAGAGAUAUACAUUUAUCCAUGAAUAACAAGAUUAAAUCCUUAAUAAAUAAUUUCCCAGAAAACAUGGUUCAUUUUAUAUUUUUAUUAAAAACUAGCCAUCCCAAGGAAUACCACAAAAUUUGUUUCAACAUUUUUGGAUCACCAGAACUAGAGAUAUGAUUUUUGUAAAAACAGCUCAAACCCUAGUUUAAACAAAGGAGAAAGAGAGACUGACAGAGGGGACCCGCGAGUCAACGGACCCCACCUGCCAGCGACCCGGAAGCAGAGGCGCGGCUUGACCGCCGGAGAUCUCGUCGACGGCGAGGUCUCGGCGCUGGCCAAGGGCACCAUCGUGCUCCCCACUGCAUUCCGCAUCUAGCGGUACCCAAAACCCUAACUCUACCGGACUCUAGGUACCUUGCCCUCGCGAAUUGCGGCACGGCGGUGGUGCGCGGCCGACCGCCGGCGUCUCUGGCCGGAGACAGAGCAGAAGAGAAUGUGGACGAGCAACAGCAAGACCUAGCGAAGCUUUUGGGACAAGAAUGAGGAAGAAUGGUGGACUACAGAGCCCUGGCCACGACGUCGGUGGCCAUGGUAGAGCUCCGGCGGGGUAAGCUCGGGACGGAGAAGGCAAUGCGGGCUCACCGAAGCUCGGCAGUCGCAGCCAACUUGAAGACGGUGAAGUGGAGAGGCUGGCGGAGCACUGGGCGGAGUUGCUUAGCUGGAGACACGGAGACGCGCGCGCGCGAGCUCGCCGAAGCAACGGCGGCGACGCGGAGACGACGACGCAUGCGAGAUGGAGGGAACCGGGAGUGGAAUGGCGCUGUCCACGCGACCGGGGUCGCCGUGGCGAGCUGAAGGACGCGCGGAGGACUGACGAGCGGGGCCAACGGCGACAUACGGACGCCACGAGUCCAGACACGCGGCAACACCGGCGAGCCCCCCCUGUCUGACUGCGGCUCCAUUCAGUUCCCAAACCGACUGAAACUCGAUUUUGCCCGACGCUUAACUCCCUAACCACUCGAUGAUUUUGCUGGCUAAUUGCUCCAUGCUGGAGAGCUACAUGAGUACUCCAACAUUGCUUACAAGAUAAAAGCUUGAUUCGGCCUAGAAUUCAAACUGGAGGAUGAACAAUACCCCCUCGAGCAAACUGCAGUGAUUCUAGACUUAGAAAAUUUUCUAAGUGUUGGAAACAGCCCCAAAUUUGCUACAACUUUGCUGUAGAAAGUUUUGACAUGCAAACAUUUUAUGAAAUACUUUUUAAAAGCCUAAGCAAAAGAGGUCUCUAGGGCCUAUUUUCAUAAGUAUGACUUAAAGGCAUAUUUUGGAGAAGUGACCAACAUGAACAUUGUUCCCAAAGUCAGGGCAUAGAUAAACUAAUUACCAAGGCAUUAAGCACAAACACAAUCAUGGUUCACUCAAACAUAAGCAUAGGAAGACUAUUUAAGCAAUUUAAACCACAUUUUUGCAUAGAAUGACAUGGCUCAAGAUAGAUGAUGAUCAUGGAUGCUUUGAAUAGAUGAUGAUGCUUAUGCUAUGCACAUGAUUAAUGCAACCAUAACACUGGGGUGUUACACUAAGUACUGUUACUUAAGAUUAUAAACUCUGUGCGUUUAUCUGGCGCCGUGCUACAGCUUUGCAUAUCGUAAGUAAGGAUGGUUAGGAUGGCCAAUCCGGCAUUCCUAAUUAUUGUUACCAGACUGCACUGCUAAGGCCGACGCCGUUAAAGGCCCUCGGUUAUCUCUCUGACAUAACUAUAGUUAUGGUAUACGAACACCCAACAUUUCUGGUGCCAUUGGUAAUGAUGGAUUUAUAGUCUAUAUUUAGUAGUGACGCUAAGAAAUGCUAACAUUGUUGCCGAUAAGACUUAUGGUUGCCAAUGUCGAUGGAGGAGGGUGUAAAGGCUAUUGCUAGAAGGGUAUGUAUGUGCUGAUGGGGCAAAAGUCAAUGAGGAAUUGAAGAAGUAGCCGAUGAAGAUUUUGUUGUAACUGGGGCGGACAUAGGAAUAGAUAGUUAUUAUUUCUUUUUCUGUAGUUGUUCUAAUAUGCCUUAUGUGUAAAAGUUUUGUUUACCUUAGUUGAAUCUUAGUCGUAUUUGGUUGUAACUCUUAAGGCUAGGGUAUAUAUACAGACCAAGCGGUAAUGUAAUAGAGAUAUCAAUCAAUAUCAAACACAAAUUUAUUCCUACUUUUACAUCUACUUUUCGACGACUUCGUCAACUUGCAUGAUUUUUCUCUUUAUGAGUUCUCAAUGAUUUGGCGAGUUACACUCAACGAUUCUCGGGUUCCACGUGAGUACCUCUUAGCCGUGACAUUUGGGCGUAUCGCGGUUGUCGGGACCAAAGUAUUCAAGUUAUCACCUUUGUCGAUUAAUAGGUCUAAUCGGCUGGCACGCCUUGAUAUCAAAAAUUGGGUAUUUGCCUUUUGUGUUUGCAGAUCUAUUUUUGCAUCAACAGAGCCCAACAAUGAGAUAGAGGAAGUAGACAUAAUUACUUUCUUUCUCAAUUAGAAUAAUUGGGCCUGACCAUUUAAUUUUUGAAUUGUCUGCGGAUAUCAACUUUUUUGAAUAAAAAAGUAAUCGAAUAAGUAUACAAAAUAGUUGAGGUAGAAGGCGCUCAAAGGGCGGGCGACCGCCCAAACCCUAGGGGCGCCUACCUGGGCACUAAGGCCAUUCACCGCCGCCUUUCUCCAUUCCUAUCCUGAGACCUUCUUUGUUUAUAAAAAGUAUAUCUUUGGAAAUUUUUCCCAUAUUUCAUCAGGAUACCUUCCCAAGAAUACAUUUUCAGACCCCUAUAUAAACAACCCAUGCCUAUGGUCUAAUCUCAUCCCAUCAUAGCUUUUCUCUUCUCUUUCUUCGAAGCUAGCUACACCUCUCUACUCAACCAUGGCUAAAGAAAAUUCAGAGAGGAGAAUGAUUCCCAAUGGGAUCGAUCUCAACACCAUCCCCAUAGAAGAACCUCGGUGCAAAGCUAUCAUUCCUAUUGAUGAAUCUAUCCCUCUAGCAACCAUUCCACCACACAACUAUGGACGCUCUUACUACGCUCAGCGUGUUUGCACCAAGCCUCUCCUUUUGGAAGGAGCUCCGCCAAAGUAGCUAGUCGUUGCUUUGCUGGCAGGGACUAAGAUCCUACUCCCAAAGUACGAUGAAGAGCUCCUAGGUGUGAAGACCAACAAAAACAGGGAAGUUGUCUGCACCAAGAACAGCACUAGGGAACACUCCUAUUUUGAGGUGGUUCGUGCUCAUCCGACAAAGGUUAAAUUUAUCCCCCUGAAGGAAGCCCCAAAGUUGUCCAUGGUUUCAUUUGAGACUGCAUGAAAACACCACAAGACCAUGGUAGAUUUGGAGAAGGAGCUUGUUAAGCAAUGAACAAUAAUAGCCUCACUAGAAGCCUGUCAGUGUGUCCAAAGUAGAUGCAUCACCCACAAUGAUAUAUGGAUGCUGACGUUGGAGCAUAACUCCAUAGCUAUAGCUGAGAGAGUGAAAGCUUUAGAGCACCCUAAAAAGUAGGGUCAAUUUACCUUAGCAUCCGAUAGGGCGAGUGUCAGUUAGAUUAAAGUUUGUUUAAUUUUAAGUUUGCAUUUAUAAUAAUAAGCCCUAUAUGAGGAUGAAAUAAAAUAAUUAUUAUUAGAUUUGUCUUGUAUCUUUUGUUUCCACAAUGUUAUGAAUGAAGAUAAUAGGAAACAAGUGAGGGGGAGACAUCCGACGAUCGAAAUGAACAAAUUUUUGUGCAACAAUAAAAAUACUGGAGAAGAUAUGACACAAAGACCGCGCUCAGCAAAGCUGAUCCUAAGGGGCCACUUGGCGGGGUGUCCGCCCAAGGGGUGGGGCCUCCUGGCUCCCAUUUCAAACCACAGUUAGGUAUGAUUUCUUUAAGUUACAAAAAUUUUAUUAUUGCUAUUGUUUCGAUUCGGAAUGAAAUAUCUCUAGUUAAACCACCUUAUACACAAAUAUUAAAAAGAUAUUUUAUUCAUGACCACAAGAUAGACUCACACCAUGAUAAUUCCUAGGAAUUCCUAUUGCUGUCGGGAACUAUUACUAUAGGGACCCUAUAUCACUUAAGUUGUUGUGUAAAGAGAGAUAGUAUGAAUAUGAGAACUUGAUUUCUAAUGUCUAGUUAGUUGGAGAAUUUCUUUUCCAAAAUCUUAAAAUUAGUAGCUGCGCUUCUACUCUGUAGUAAGAGUUAAUAUCUUACUAGAGCCAUGCAUGAAUUACAUAAACUAGCACAUAAGCUACUUGUUUUGUAUUGAGUUUUGUCGAACCUUGUUGACCUAUGUUGAUAAGAUUAUCAUGCUCUCAAGAUCAAGAUCACAUAAACCCACAUAUUUCUGUCGUUCCUACAUUGGGAAUGCACACAAACAUGUCUUUCCAUCCACAAAAUGUUUUACUCCUACAUUAGGAGAAAACACAAAAAAGAGUCUUGCUAGGAAUAAUUGCUCUAAGUUCUUUAAAGUCUUUCUCAAUAUUUUCUAAUUAUGGAAGGGAGGUAUGUGGCUAUGCAAAAUAAAGUAUUGAAAAAAAUGGACAAGUGUCCAAGAAAGAGAAAAGAAGAAAGUAAAAUAAAGAGAUAACCCAUACCAUCCUUUGUAAAGAUCAUCAAUGUUUUAGAAGAAGAAAGAUAUUCUUAAAGAGAAAAGUAGAAUUAAGAUUAGCCAUUAUAUAUUUCACACACAUGCACUUUUUGAUCUAAGAGUAUGCUAUUCCCCUCCAUAGAUCUGAGUUUGGACUUACCAACAUAUGCAAGAUAAGUAUGCUAUUUCCUUGAAUUACCUUUAACUCCAUAUAAGCCAUUAUAGAGUAGGAUACAUAUGAGGCAUAGACCAUACAUGCCUUGGUGAGUUCCACAAAUACAACUCACAUUGAGUGAUUCCAGUGUGCUACAUGAUGGCGAAGGGUAAGCUAAAUUUUUCUUUGCAAAAAUAUUAUAAACUCAAGUGACAGGACUGAAGAAAAAGGGAAAUCUAUUUUCUACUGUUCCAUCCUCAACUUCUCAAAGUUUUGUGGUAGACACUUUGAAUCCCGCAGUACAGGUAUGAUGCUGUAAAAUGCUACGGUGAUGUUCUUUGCACUUGCAGAAUCUUUCAUAUUUCUUUUUGCACUAAUGAAUGUCAGCAAUGAGUAUAACACUCCAAAUUUUUGAAUUUUAAAUUUAGUUUAAAUUUGAUUUAAUUUUGGCUCAAUUUGAAUUUUUGGGAAUUAUUAAAUAAUUUACAAAAUUAAAUAUAAGGUAGAAACAUGUUUAAGUUUGCAUUCAUGCUGCAGCAUGAUUUUUGCUUGAUUUUAUUUAUUUGUUUGUGCCUUUAUUUGAAUUUCGGAGCAAUAAUUAAAUAGGGGAAAUCUGUUUAAAAAAAAAGAAAAAAAAAGGGGCAAGCGCCCUCUCUGGGCCGGCUUCUCUCCCCAGCCCAGCAGCCGCGCCCCCCCCCUCUCCCCGCUUCGGCCCAAGCCGCGGCCCAGCAGCGCCCCUGUUGCCCGCUGCCGC